rnacentral:lncRNA from 1 species
AUUUUUCCGCUGGCUCUGAGUUUGUUGGCAAGGAAAUUGUCAAAUGUAUCGGUAUGGCCAAGGAUGGGAUCCAUGCAGUCCUUGUAGUUUUCUCUGUUAGAAGCCGUUUUUCUCAAGAGGAAGAAGCUGCACUACACAGUUUGCAGACCUUGUUCGGGAAAAAAAUUUUUGACUAUAUGAUUGUUGUUUUCACUGGAGGGGAUGAACUUGAAGAUAAUGACGAAACGUUAGAAGAUUAUUUGGGUCGUGAGUGUCCAAAGCCUUUAAAGGUUUGUUUCUGAACAGCAAUAGUGUUCGAUAAUUUCCAUUUUGAUCAAGUUGUCUUGGGUUGCUUCUUUUGUGAAGUUUUAGAUUCCUUUACGGAUGGACUAUUGGAAGUUUAAUAUGAAUAUAUGCAUGCUGAAAAUACCAGAUAGGUUUAUAGUAGUCCAGCCGUCUUAAAGUUCCAUUUUCAAUAUUGCUUCAUUUCCUGAAUGGUUUUCUUCUGCCAUGUGGGAUUGGCCGGAGAGGUGAUUGGUUGGUAAUUUUCUGCUGGUAUUACUUAAUUGUAGUUAUAUUUUAAUGUCUUUGAAUGAGAUGUCAUUCAUUCAUUUGCUAAGCAUUUAUGCUUUUCUUAUUUGUAUUCUUUGAUUUCAUCUGUUAUUUAAUCUUUGGUUCUUAUUCUAUUAAUGUGUGUUCAUUUGUUUGUUCCUUAAAAUAUGUACCUCUUUGAUUUAUAUGCUUAAAAUUAACCUACUUUUAAGAUUUUAGAAGUGCACCAAGGAGGAUAUGACUUGCCAUACAGGUCCAUUUUAUUAGGCGUUGUUUGAAUAAAAUAUCAAGUCUAACUUUACAAGAUUUAAAAUUCUCUUUAAAAUCCCUGUGGAUUCUAGCCCCAGAAUUGGUGUCUAAAAUUUCAAUGUGAGAUCUUUUUUCAGUUGCAACAUGCAAAUCUCUUAUUGUCAGAAUUUACUUGAUGAAUUUGGUCCCUAAAACUUUUCAAGUUCAGGAGUAGGAAGAAAAAUAACAAAAAUGAAAAUAAAGACCCCUUCAAGUUGUAGCUUUGCAAUUAACAAAAUCGGGUUAUUUUACAGUUAAAGGGAACUUUGUUUUACUUAUUGUACUAAUUUUUGUCGUUUGAAGGAAUCAAAAUUUUUUAAUUAUAAUGCUGCAAAAUUAGGUCAAUUAUGUAGAUGCCACAGAAAAUAUGAUCAUGUCUUUUGGCAGUUUUGAGCUUUGAUCACUUGAGUUUGUUUAUGACAAUAGUACAGUCUUUCAUGCUUUGUUCUAUAAUGUAAGAGUUUGCCGAGUGAAGAGGCAACUACUGCUUUAUAGCCACUAAUUUUGAUUGGGUCAAUGCUUUUCACUGGAAUAUAUGCAGAUUAUUAUUAUUAUUUUUUCUGUUAUAUGGAAUGCUGAUCACCUUUUAAGAUCUUUAAAUUUGAUGGGCGUAAAAGGUUAUUGUAAGUGGUCAAACCAUAAGGAGAAUGGAAUUAAUUAUUAAAAGUUGAUUAUUGCUUGCCCUUAAAUAGUUUUUGGGGAUGCAUGAUAUUAAGUACCAAUGAUCACAAUAAAAACAAAUUUUGUCAGCUGAAUAUCUUCAAACUUUUAGAGACUACAAGUGUUUGAUUGGUUUAUCAAUGCUUACGAAAGGGGCUAACAUUUGCUUUAUUCCUGAUCAUUUUUCCAUUAUUUUAGGAAAUCCUUCAACUAUGUGAUAAUAGGUGCGUGCUUUUUGAUAACAAGACUAAGGAUGAGGCCAAGAGAACUGAGCAGGUUUGGAAGCUUCUGUCUCUGGUUAACUCUGUGGCUGUGCAGAAUGGUGGGCAGCCAUAUACGGAUGAUAUCUUUGCUGAGUUGAAGGUGACUUCAUUACUAUCGUGAGAGACUUCUGUGCUGCUUCUUUCUGAAUAUGUCAUGACGAUGUCUCUUUUUCUUUUUUUUUUUCUAUUCAGAAAGGGGCUACUAAACUCCGUGAUCAACAAUUUGAGGUUGAUUCUCUCAAGGGAUAUUCAAAACGAGAAAUUUCAGAGCUGAAGGAGCAGAUGCAUAAAUCAUAUGAAGAUCAACUCAAACGAAUUACUGAGAUGGUAUUUUUUAUGCUCCUUGUUUUGGCAUCAAAAUAUGACAUGCAUAUGUGUUCAUUUCUCAGAUCCAAAAAUGCUUAUAAAGUGUGCAGGUACCUGUAAUGAUAUUCUAAAUUGUGAGACUUGGAGGUGAUAAAGACUGCCGCUGUGUCCUUACCCCUAGAUUGUUGGAGAUUGCCAUCUGAAAAGAGGCUUUAUCUUGCUAGUUGAUGGGGACAAAUCUGUUAUUAAGUUAUCUGUUCAUUGAUUGUGUUUUGAAGGCUGUAACAUGUUGUUCUUACCUUGAAGAUUGUUUGACUGUCUUGUUCUGUUUUGUUUCUUGAUGAAAUUAAGUAGAUUACUCUAUGGUAGUAGCUAUAGGUGGUUUGCUCAUCAUGACUUGCACUUAGGAGUGGAUUCUGCACUUGUUUAGUCAUCAAUCAUAAGAACAUUUCUUGUAAUACUGUAGAUCCUGUUUUGUUGCUAGGAAUUUUGCACUCCUGAAUCUCUGGGAACAUUUGAAAUGUUAUAAGCAAGUUAUGUUAUAUUCUAAUUUUGUUAAAACAGAGUAGCCACAUUCAAAAUAAGUUUUUUGGAAAAUAUAGUUAGGUACCUGGAACCUAAUCAAAUAGCUGUGUAGUUUAAAUGUUCCUUUCCACAGUUUUAAUUUAUAGCAAGGCAGUAGAAUGAACUGGCAUUAAGCGAGAUCCUAUUCAACAAUAAUCUGGAUUUGCUGUAGCAGGCUGUGUACUGACUAUGUGUAUGAGGUGCUAAUAAGUUUUAAUCUCCACAUUCCUGGAGUGUGGCAAAAUGAAAAAGUUAGUAUAUUCUUUAAUACCUUAUAUUUUGGGUUUAACUGUUUAUUUUUUUAAGCCUUUGUUUCUACCAUUUAUCAAUGAUUGAGAGAGUGGAAUUGAUUGAAGUAAGAAAGUUGUGCCGAGUAUGGUGAACUUAGCAACUCCCUUUGCAAUUGGAUUAAACUAAAUUAAUACUUAAGAAUUUUCUUCUCUUAAGUUGGAGUUUUAUAUUACCAGUACCCAAUCUUUCUUUGUAUUAUACUGCUACUCUAGGGCUUAAUGGCAUGUUUUCUGACUGAUAUUGAUGCUUUUUUGAUAGGUUGAGUCUAAGCUCAAAGAGACAACAACUAGGCUCGAACAGCAAUUGGCAGAGGAGCAAGCUGCUCGAUUAAAGGCAGAAGAGGUCGCACAAUUAGCUCAAAUGAAGUCGAAUGACGAAAUUCGUAAGCUUAGAGAGAAUCUUGAAAGAGCUCAGAGGGAGACAGAGGAGCUCCGUAAGCAAGCUGAAAAAGGAGGGUGUGCCAUUCUUUGACCUAAUCACCUGCUGGCACUAUAUGCCAUUGGCAUGAAAAUCACCUAAAGUAUAUUUUUGCUGUCUCCCCUACCUUUUCAGAUAAUAUUUGAAGUUAAUACUGCAUUUAUUCUCAGUGUUUUACUACAGUCAAGAAGCUUGUAUCCUCUAUUAUGUAAAUGUUCCCAGUCCAAUCUCGAGUGUGGUCUUAAGAUAGUAUUAUAUGGAAAAAUUAAAUUGACAUCAAAUGAAGUUUCUUUUAUGGAACCGUUUAGAAUCUUUUCUUACACGGUGAAUCCAAAGAGAUCUGAUUCCUUGUUCUCCUCACGCUAUCUUGUUUCCACAUUUGUAACAGAUACAACCCAAAAUACGCCCUUUUAACAAUCAAUGACUUUCCCAAAAACUCAAACACACUCGAGUUUACUUGUACCUUAACUUUUUUGUUUUCACUCUUCUAAUGUGAUAUUAGUUUGUAUAAAUAGUUUGUUUGUAUAGAAUUUACUCCUUUCAUACAACAGAGUAAUCCUAAUAUCCAAGAGACUUGCAAUAAAACCACCAAGCCUAUGACCCUUCUUUGAUUCACGCCAAACUUCAACCAGCUCAUAGCCUAGAUUUAUCAAGUACAAUAUUUAUUUAUGCAUAUCUGACACAAUCUUUAUUUACCUUAUACACAAUGCAAACCCUUCGACAUCAUACAGCUUCAGUUUUAUAGAUAUUAAGUUUCAGCAUAACAACUGGUCUCCCAAGGAGAAGAAGCCAAUGAUAAGUCAGCGUAAGUAAUUAGGUUACACAUAAACUCAUCCAGUUUCAUAUAUUGCUGGUUUCAAAAAUAGGUAUCAAGUAGCACACACACUCAGUAGAUAAUGUAGUCUGAUCGUAGAUCUCGCACUGAGAUGCCACAAGCUUGAUAUCCAGCAUCUAGCUUACCUGCAAAUGGGAGAAAACAUUGAUGCACGCGCAACACGAGUGUGUAGAAAUGAAAUGUGAUGGGAGAAUUAAUUACCUGAGAUAGAGUAUCUUCUUGUCCGGGUGAGAGUAAGCAGUGCCACCACCCUCGAUGAUAGCAGGACUGAAGAAAUUCCGAGAAGCUAAUGCAUGGAUUGCAUUCAGCUCUUGCCCAGUCACCGUGUUUGCUUGCUGAAACCUCUCCAUUUCUGCUAUAUGAGUUUGAGAAACAAUGAAAUUUUAAUAACGUGCUGAAAUUUUGGAAGAGGGCGAGAAAAAAUGCAUUAUACAUACAACGGACUGAUUUGCAUACCUUUGAUCGGAGACAUACGCUUUCAUUUUCCAGCUCAAUCUCCUAUGAAAAUGAAAAUGUUAAAGAGUUCCAUAAAAGCUUUGAAGAAAACGAAAAAAAGGCUAAACAGGAUUUAAUGAAUUUUAAUUAUUACCCUUUUCUGCAAGAACUCAAUUUCAGCUAGCGGCAUUUCAUGCUGUUGCACAAAACAGGAAACGCACAAAGCAACAAAUUAUUUUCAAAAUGACAUAAAUUACAUAUAUUGAAUGUAUAUCGAUGAAGUUUAUGCAAUGUAUUGUUGCAAAACAAUGGUGUAUUGCUCAAAUUCAAUUAAUUUUUGUAUGCAUAAUGCAAUUAAUUAAUUACCUUCUUGAACCUGAUCCUAGUGAUGCCUCGCUCAAGCCUGUUCUCCAGUUGCUUAAGCUCCUUUACAGUUAAAGAACUCAGAGAAUCACCCAUCAAAUGCCUAUAUGAAGAGUCAAGAGUGAGAGAACCAAUUGAAAAUUUAAUUGAAAUUGUAUAUUUUGGAAUAAUUAAUUAACGACACUUAAUAUGAAAAUAAUUGUUGAUGAAAUAAUUGAAAAUACCUGUUAGAAUUCAGUGACAUUUGAAUUUGCUGCCGCAGCUUCACCGAUUCCUGCUGAUAGUACCGUUUUCAUGGGUCACAUGUAACGGGAGAAGUUAAAUUUUUAUUGGGAACUUUAUAUUUCAAUGCUAGCUAUGUGGUAAUAAAUGAUAAUUAGUUGGUUUUUUUUUUCACCUUUUCAUAAUAAUAUAUAUUCCUAGCAAAGCCUGAAUUUGUAGCUUAAAUUAAUGAAUUACUUACCCGAGCAUUGAUCUCAGUAACAGUGCCAGAAUUUAUUUAUUUUAUAGCUUAAAUUACAUACAUUUACACACACACACGCACACACGCAACACACACACAUACAUACACACACGCUAAGAACAGCAGGUUAUAUUCAUCAAAUUCAUCUACAAAUAACUAACUAACCAGAUAGCUCAGCUUCUUUUCUUUCCAACUGAAUUUCUGAACUUGGUAGAUUCUCUGCAGGUUUAGCAAUAACCUUCAGGAACUCCAGAUAAUCGGGGUCUUUAUUGUCCACAUCAAAACCAAAUACAGCUAUUGCUACAGUACUUCUAAAAACAAUAAGAAGAUAAAGAAAAUUAAGGUAACUUUGAAAUUUAGCAGCUUAAGUGUACGAGAAAAGUCACAACAUUUCAACCUCAAAAGUAUCCUAAGUUUUUUUUUUUAAACAAAAAAAAUACCUUUAAAAAUGGUGCCUUCACGGCUAUCCUUUCUAGAACAAGGCUUGGGAACACGUUGAGAUGGAACAUAUCCAACAACAGCCUUAAACUGAGCAACUAAUCGAGAAACCAAUAACACAUCUAAUCAACCAAAAAGAAAGUGCCCUUUUGAUUUAAAACAACAUAAACUCAUUCUUACCAAAUUAAGAUUGAUAAGUAAAGGUAAAAGUGUAAGCAAAAUUACCCUUUUCAUUAACAAACAAAUGUCCAUUCAACAACUCCGCAAACUCAAACACAUCCGCAGGCUUCUUCAUUCUUCAUAUGCUCGUGAAUGCCUCUGAUGCUUGUAACUGUUAAAAAAAUAAAAUCCAAGUUAAAAUAAUUUUUUUUAAAAAAAACCCAAAAAUCAAUCAAUUAUAAAAAAUUUAAAAAAUUUUUUAAAAAAAACUAAAUUUUCCAGGGCAAAAGUAGAACCAAUUGUAACAGUCAUUGAAGUGAUCGUGGAAAAGGGCUAAAAGGUCAUUUUGAGAGAGGGAAGGAGGCAAAUGACGAAUCAAUACUUUGGUUCUUUGCAAUGGCUCCUUCAUUUCAUCGCAUUCAAUUUGUUCCAAUUGUAUUGAAAUCGAAAAUCAAAAAAGAGUUUUGAUUAUUUUGUACCCUAAUUUUUUAUUUGGGUUGAGAACGAAAUUGGAAUGUUGUUUAUUGGAAAGUUUUAGAUGCACGUAAUCGUUGUGUUUUCCUCCAGAGGGGCCUCUGAACACUCACAAACGGGAGAUUUACCCUUGAACACUCACAAACGGGAGAUUUACCCUUGGGAAACGUCGUCGUGUGGGCGUUCCCUAAGCGGGUAUCACGUGUCGAAAAGUUAACGAGAUUCAUAUUUCCUUACCUGGGGCAACAUCAAUUGAUAUUCCCUACUUCCCUUCAUAUUACUUUUGGGGAGUCUAGGAAUGUCAUGGAUAUUCCUCUAUUCAAAUCAACAUAUACUAAUUAUUUUAGUAUUUUUAAAAUAUUUAAUAAUAUUUAAUAAUAUAGUUUUAUAUUAUUUUCAUUUUCAUUUUUAAAUAAAUUUUUAUUCAUAUUUAUUAUAAAUUAAAUGAAUAAUACAAAUACAAAUUAAAAUAAAAAUUUAAAUACUAAAAAUAAAAAUAUAUGCGUCAUUAUAAAUAAAAUUUAAUUAUAAAAUAUUUUCUUGUACUUUUUGUUACUUUAAAAUAUUUUUCUUAUAAUCAAUGCAUAUAUUAUAGCUCCAAGAUAAGUUAUUAAGAAAAUUACUCAUUUGCCCUUUUUUGUUUAAAUUUUUUGGGGACGGAAGAGUUUUUAGAUAUUAUAAAAUUAGUAAGAAAUAAGUGAUAUAUAUUAGUUCCACUAGAAAAAAAAAAUUAACAACCUCCUUAAUAAUAAAAGUAACAAAAUAAUGAAAUGCAAAAGAGAGAAAUUACAUGUUCAUUCAUCUUUUAGAUUCUUUUCUUCUCAACUUUCUAUUUAAACCCUUUUAAAUUCUUUUCUUCUCAACUUUUUAUUUAAAUUUUUUUACAUUCUUUACUUCUCAACUUUCUAUUUAAACUCUUUCAAAUUCUUUUCUUCAAACUCUUUUAGAUUCUUUACUUCUCAACUUUCUAUUUAAACUCUCUUACAUCCUUUACUUCUCAACUUUCUAUUUAAACUUUCUAUUACAUUCAUUAUUCAAUUUAUAAUUUUCAUACCUUAAAUCCUAAAAUUUAAGUCAAGUCUCUUCCCCUUUCUCAUCUCUUCGUACGCAACGCAAUCUUUUUAGGCCUCCUCUCUUUGCAAGUAAGUAAAAUAUCAGUUCAUUGCAUCAUCUCACUGUUUGUUUUCAUACUUUGCUUUCUCCAAAUUGCCCUUGCCUUUUCCUCUCAAUCUCAAUUUUUAGUUUUUUCUUUUGAUUAUAGACUCUAUUUUCUUUACCUUGGUUUGUAAAUUUUAUCGGAUGUACUGCAUAAUCAUGGGCGACCCAAUUAAGGCCCAUGAGGGGUAGCCAUUAAUUUUUCUUUUAAAUGUACCUCAAGCCCUUUUUAAAAGAAUUAAAUAAAAAAAAUUUAGACACAUUUUUCAUAUAACAAAAGACAUAUUGUUCAAUGGUAAGAGUUUAUUUGAUGGUUUUAAAGUCCUGAUUCAAAUCCCAAUCGCCACAUUAGUUUGUUUUUUUAAUAUUUUAUGAAAACUACUCGGAAAAAUGAUACUUUCAUGCCUUUGAAAUAAAUAAUUUGUUACUAUUAUUAUUUAGAAUUUAAAAGAAAGUAAUGAAAUUUGAGUUUAUGAGACUUAAAAUGUAUGGUGUGAACAUUUAAAAAAAGCCCAAAUUAAAUAAAAGUUUUGAAUUAAGCCCCCCUAAUUGAAGUGUUUGGGUCCGCCACUAUGCAUAAUUGAUCAUCGUCAUUUUUUUUCAAUAAUUUCAUAAAACAUGCAUAAUUAAAUUAAAUUAUAUAUUAGCAUAAUUAAUUAAUUAACUGAUGCUGUUUAGAUUCUGAGCUUGAUUAUAUAUCAAUGCAUCAUAUUUUUAUUAAGAUUAUAAAUUUAACUAUAUCGUCAGGGUCCGAAUGAUUUUUAUUUUAAAUUAUUUUUAAUGAAUUUAUUCAUGUUCGGUUGGAUAAUAUUUAAAGUAAUAACAAAUAUAAGUUUUAAUGGAGUGAAAUUGUUAGGGUAUGGUAACUAAAUUUUCUUUCUUAUUGUUUAACGAUAAAAAGUGAAUUCAAUGUGAAGUGGUUUGAUACUGUAAAUGCAUUGCAGGUAAAUUGAAAUUUUUUUUAGGAUGGGAGAAAGAGUGAUUGAUGGCGAUUGGAAGCCUACUUCUCCAUCUAUUGGGGAGCGUACUGUGGUUUUACUUGGCCGUACUGGCAAUGGCAAAAGUGCGACGGGCAAUAGUAUUCUCGGAAGAAAAGCCUUCAAGGCGAGUGCUGGCUCGUCUGGUGUUACUAUAACUUGUGAAAUGAAGACAACCGUGCUCAAAGAUGGCCAAGUUGUUAAUGUCAUUGAUACCCCCGGUAAUUUACUAAUGUUGGUGUCUAGAUAUUCCAUUUCCAUGCUUGUUGAUGUUGUGGUGGCAAGUAGAUUGAUGUUAUGAGCCAUUGCAGGGCUUUUUGAUUCUUCCGCUGGCUCUGAGUUUGUCGGCAAGGAAAUUGUCAAAUGUAUUGGUUUGGCCAAGGGUGGGAUCCAUGCAGUCCUUGUAGUUUUCUCUGCUCGAAACCGUUUUUCUCAAGAGGAAGAAGCUGCAGUACACCGUUUGCCGACCUUGUUCGGGAAAAAAAUUUUUGACUAUAUGAUUGUUGUUUUCACUGGAGGGGAUUAUCUUGAAGAUAAUGAGAAAACAUUAGAAGAUUAUUUGGGUCAUGAGUGUCCAAAGCCUUUAAAGGUUCGUUUCUGAACUGCAACAGUGUUCGAUAAUUUCAUUAGUCAUUUUGAUCAAGUUGUCUUUGGUUGGUUCUUUUGUGAAGUUUUAGACUCCUUUACGGUUGGACCAUUGGAAGUUUAAUAUGAAUAUAUGCAUGCUGAAAAUACUUGAUAGGUGUAUAGUAGUCCAGCCGUCUUAAAAUUCCAUUUUCAAUAGGGCUUCAUUUCCUGAAUGGUUUUCUUCUGCCAUGCGGGAUAUGCCGGAGAGGUGAUUGGUUGGUAAUUUUCUGCUGGCAUUACUUAAUUUUAGUUAUAUUUUAAUGCCUCUGAAUGAGAUGUCAUUCAUUCAUUUGCUAAGCAUUUAUGCUUUUCUUAUUUGUAUUCUUUGAUUUCCUCUGCUAUUUAAUCUUGGUUCUUAUUCUAUUAACGUGUGUUCAUUUGUUUGUUUCUUAAAAUAUGUUCUUUUGUUGGGAGAACCUGUGCCUCUCGGUUCGAGCGGAGACUUCUAGUCUGGGUUGUGGUAUGGGCUUAAAAGUGUUUCCCACAGUUGGGGCUCUUUCCAGGAUACCUCGUGGUCAAAAAAAAAAAAAAUGUACCUCUUUUUUUUUUACGUGAGGUCCAUUUUAUUCGGCGUUGUUUGAAUAAAAUAUCAAGACUAACUUUACAAGAUUUAAAAUUCUCUUACAAAUUCCUGUGGAUUCUAGCCUCAGAAUUGUUGAAUAAAAUUUCAAUGUGAGAUCUUUUUUCAGUUUCAACAUGCAAAUCUCUUAUUUUCAGAAUGUACUUGAUGAAUUUGGUUUCUAAAAUUUUUUAACUUGAGAAAGAUUUAUAUCAAGUUCUUCUAUUUUACUGCAUACUUGAUUUAACCUAUGAGUGGGAAGAAAAAUAACAAAAAAGAAAAUAAAGACCCCUUCAAGUUCUAGCUCUGCAAUUAACAAAAUCGGGUUAUUUUAAGGGAACUUUGUUUUACUUAUUGUACCAAUUUUUGUAGUUUGAAGGAAUCAAUUGUAGAUGCCACAAUUAGGUCAACUAUGUAGAUGCCACAGAAAAUGUGAUCUUGCAUUUUGGCAGUUUUGAGCUUUGAUCACAAUAAUACAGCCUUUCAUGCUUUGUUCUAUAAUGUAAGAAUUUGCCGAGUGAAGAGGCAGCUACUGCUUUGUAGCCACUAAUUUUGAUUGAGUCAAUACUUUUCACGGGAAUAUAUGCAGAUGAUUAUUAUUAUUAUUAUUAUUAUUAUUUUGUUAUAUGGAAUGCUGAUCACCUUUUAAGGUCUUUAAAUUUGAUGGACGUAAGAGGUUAUGUAAGUGGUCAAACCAUAAGGAGAAUGGAAUUGAUUAUUAAAUAGUUUCUGAGGAGGCCUGAUAUUAAGUGCUUACGAUCACAAUAAAAACAAAUUUUGUCAGCUUAAUAUCCUCAAACUUUUAGAGACUACAAGUGUUUGAUUGGUUCAUCAAUGCUUACGAAAUGAGCUAAUAUUUGCUUUAUUCCUGAUCAUUUUUCCAUUAUUUUAGGAAAUCCUUCAACUAUGUGAUAAUAGGUGCGUGCUUUUUGAUAACAAGACCAAGGAUGAGGCCAAGAGAACUGAGCAGGUUGGGAAGCUUCUUUCUCUGGUUAACUCUGUGAUCGUGCAGAAUGGUGGGCAGCCAUAUACGGACGAGCUCCUUGCUGAGUUGAAGGUGACUUCAUUACUGUCGCGAUUGACUUCUGUGCUGCUUCUUUCUGAAUAUGUCAUGACAAUAUCUCUUUUUCUUUUUUUUUCUAUUCAGAGAGGGGCUACUGAACUCCGUGAUCAACAAGCUGAGGUUGAUUCUCUCAAGGAAUAUUCAAAACAAGAAAUUUCAAAGCUAAUGGGCCAGAUGCAGGAAUCAUAUGAAGAUCAAAUCAAACGAAUUACUGAGAUGGUAGUUUUUAUACUCCUUGUUUUGGCAUCAAAAUAUGACAUGCAUAUGUGUUCAUCUCUCAGAUCGGGUAAUCAUUUCUAAAACUGUGUAAUUAAAAAAAUGCCUACAAAGCGUGCAGGUACCUGUAAUGAUAUUCUAAAUUGUUAGAUUUGGAGGUGAUAAAGACUGCCGCUCUGUCCUUACCCCUAGAUUGCUGGAGAUUGCCAUCUGAAAAGAGGCUUUAUCUUGCUAGUUGAUGUGGACCUAUCUGUUAUUAUCUGUUCACUGAUUGCGUUUUGAAGGCUGUAACGUGCUGUUCUUAACUUGAACAUUGUUUGACCGUCCUGCUCUGUUUUGUUUGUUGAUGAAAUUAAGUGGGUUAUUCUAUGAUAGUAGCUAUAGGCGGUUUACUUAUCAUGACUUGCACUUAGGAAUGGAUUCUGCACUUGUUUAGUCAUCAAUCAUGAGAACAUUUCUUGUAAAACUGUGGAUAAUGUUUUCUUGCCUGAAUCUGUGGGAACAAUUUAGAUUAUGACAUAUUCUAAUUUUGUUAAAAACAAAAUAGCCACAUUCAAAAUAAGUUUUCAUGAAAAUAUAGUUAGGCACGUGGAACCUAAUCAAAUGGCUGCAUAGUUUCGAUUUUCCUUUCCACAGUUUUAAUUUAUAGCAAGGCAAUACAAUGAUUCGGAAUUAAGCCUGUUCCUAUUCAACAAGAAUCUGAAUUUGCUGUAACAUUCUGUGUAAUGACUAUAUGUCUGAGGUGCUAAUAAGUUUUAGUCUUCACAUUCUUGGAGUAUGGCAAAAUUAAAAAGUUAGUAGAUUCUUUAAUACUUUAUGUUUUGAAUUUAUGUGUUGAUUUUUUUAAGCUUUUGUUUCUACCAUUUAUCAAUGAUUGAGAGUUUGGAAUUGAUUGAAGUAAGAAUGUUUCGCCGAGUAUGGUGAACUUAGCAACUCCCUUUGCAAUUGGAUUAAACUAAAUUAAUACUCAAGAAUUUGCUUCUCUGAAGUUGGAGUUUUAUAAUACCAAUACCUUUUUUUUUUUUUUUUAUUUGUAUUAUGAUGCUACUCUAGGGCUUAGUAGUAUGUUUUCUGACUGAUAUUGAUGCUUUUUUGAUAGGUUGAGUCUGAGCUCAAAGAGACAACAACUAGGCUCGAACAGCAAUUGGCAGAGGAGCAAGCAGCUCGGUUAAGGGCAGAAGAGGUUGCACAAUUAGCUCAAAUGAAGUCGAUGAAAUUCAAGCUGGGAGUGCUGAGAAGGAGACUGCGGAGCGCCCUAAGAAACCUUAUAAUGGGGAUUGUGCCAGUUUUUGACCUAGUCACCUGCAGGCACAAUGUGCCAUCGGCGUGAAAAUCACCUAAAGUAUAUUUUCUUAUUGUGCCAUUCUUUGACCUAGUCACCUGCAGGCACAAUGGAAAAACCGUAUUGACAUCAAAUGAAGUUUCUUUUAUGGAGCCGUCUAGAAUCUUUUCUUACACGGUGGAUUCAAAGAGAUCUGAUUCCUUUUCUCCUCAUUGAGCUCUAAACGAACGCUAUAUUGUUUCCACAUUUGUAGCAGAUACAACCCAAAAUGUGCCCUUCUAAUAAUCAUGACUUUCCCAAAAAUUCAAACGGACUAACAGAGCAAACCUAACAUCCAAGAGACUUGCAAUAAAACCACCAAGCCUAUGACCCUUCUUUGAUUCACACCAUACUUCAACUAGCUCAUGGUCUAGGUUUAUCAAGUACAAUAUUUAUUUAUGCAUAUAUGACACAAUCUAUAUUUACCUUAUACAUAAUGCAAAUCCUUCGACAUCAUACAGCCUCAGUUUUGUAAGUUUUAUAGAUGUAAGUUUCAGCAUAAUAACUGGUCUCCCAAAGAGAAGAUGCCAAUGAUAAGUCAGCGUAAGUAAUUAGAUUACACAUAAACUCAUCCAGUUUCAUAUAUUGCUGAUUCAAAAAUAGGUAUCAAGUAGCACACACAUUCAGUAGAUAAUGAUAGUCUGAUCGUAGAUCUCGUACUGAGAUGCCACAAGCUUGAUCUCCAGCAUCUAGCUUACCAGCAAAGGGGAGAAAACAUUGAUGCACGCGCAACACGAUAAAGUUUAUGCAAUGUAUUGUUGCAAAACAAUGGUGUAUUGCUCAAAUUCAAUUAUUUUUUGUAUGCAUAAUGAAAUUAAUUAAUUACCUUCUUGGACCUGAUCCUCGUGAUGCCUCACUCAAGCCUGUUCUCCAGUUGCUUAAGCUCCUUUACAGUUAAAGAACUCAGAGAAUCACGCAUCAAAUGCCUAUAUGAAGAGUCAAGAGUGAGAUAACCAAUUGAAAAUUCAAUUGAAAUUGUAUAUUUUGGCAUAAUUAAUUAACUAUGCUUAAUAUGAAAAUGAUUGUUGAUGAAAUAAUUGAAAAUACUUGUUAGAAUUCUGUAACAUUUGAAUUUGCUACUGCAGCUUCACUGAUUCCUGCUGAUAGUACCGUUUUCAUGGGUCACAUGUAAUGGGAAAAGUUAAUUUUUUGUUAGGAACUUUAUAUUUCAAUGCUAGCUAUUUGGUAACAAAUGGUAAUUAGUUGGUUUUUUUUUUCUUUUUUUUUUCACCUUUUCAUAAUAAUAUAUGUUCCUAGCAAAGCCUGAAUUUAUAGUUUAAAUUAAUGAAUUACUUACCUGAGCAUUGAUCUCAGUAGCAGUGCCAGAAUUUAUUAAUUCUGUAGCUUAAAUUGCGUACAUUUAUGCACACACACACUAAGAACAGCAAGUUAUAUUCAUCAAAUUCAUCUCAAAAUAACUAACUGACCAGAUAGCUCAGCUUCUUUUCUUUCCAACUGAAUUUCUGCACUUGGUAGAUUCUCAGCAAGUUUACCAAUAACCUUCAGGAACACCAAAUAAUCCGGGUCUUUAUUAUCCACAUCAAAACCAAAUAUGGCUUAUUACUGCAGUACUUCUAAAAACAAUAAGAAGAUAAAGAAAACUAAGGUAUUCUUCUAAUUGCUGUGCUUUUACUUAACUUUGAAAUUUAGCAGCUUAAGUGUACAGUAAAAGCCACAUCACUUCAACUCCAAAAGUGCCCUAAGUUUUUUUUUAAAAUAAAAAGAAUUAUUAUAACAUAUGCACUUUAAUUUUCCUCAUUAAGUGUAUUAUUUAAUUUUUCUCUUUCGAUAUUAUUUUUAAAUUUGUCAUGACAUAAAAUUGAGACAAUUCAAACACGAUUCAAUGGCCAUGUAGUUGGAUUUUAUUUCAACACGGGUCCGGCAUUAGCUUAAUUAGUAGUAAUCUUUAAAAAAAAAAUUAAUUUCUAUAAAUGGAAAGGAGGGAACUAAUUUCCAAAAGAGGAAAGAGAGAGGGGCACGCGAGAGAGAAGGAGAGAGAGAGAAAUUGACCCGUUUAGCCCGACCCGACCCACGAGACCGACCCGGAUCCGACUCUCGUUUACAGCCACCGUUUCGGUCAAGCUUGGUACUGAUCUGAAGCUUGAGUGACGUCGGUCAUAUCCCCCUGUCAUCGUCGCUGGAAAACAGCCAGAACGCCGGUGAUCGAAACUUGAAAGACCGCGGCUCAACCCAUUUUCGUCGCCGUCAAUCUCGCCAGAAUUAGGUUGCACCACCGGUUGCGUUCGAUUCUUCACAUCACCAGCUUUUAUUUCCGGCCAACGUUGCUGCCCGAAACUUCCGUUUUGGCCGUGAACGACCGCUAGAAAGCUCACAGCUUUGGGAGCACGAUCCGCCACCAUUGCCGUGCGCGUAAGGUCACCGCCGUCACCGUUGGCUGAAUUCCAGUCACCGUUGACCGGUGGGGGCAUUUCGGUAAUUUAAUAAGACUUUAGGGGGAAUUUGUAAUUUGUGGAAUCGGUGGAUAAUUUGGUAAUUUUAGAUUAGGGCAGUGAAGUAAUUUGAGAGUUCCGAGGGUAAUUCGAUAAUUUAAAUUAUUAACGGCAUUAUGGUAAUUUCGCAAUUUGAGGAUAAUUUCGUAAAUUUAAAACUUGUGAUUAAUUUUGUUAUCCGAAUUGAGGACAAUUUGGUAAUUUAAGAUGUUAAGGAUGAUUCGAUAAAUUAUGAUUUCGAUGGUAAUUCGGUAAAUUUCGGUGUCAGGGGCAUUUUGGUAAUUUUUGGACAUAAGGGUAAUUUUGAAAUUUUAUGCAUCCAGGAGUUUGGUUUUGAGCUUUAUUUCAUACUGUUAGUCGUACUUCAUGAUACAAAUAAUAAUUAUGUUGUUUAUUUAAUUAGGAGGACCCGCGAGCGAGAAUCAAUCUGCGGACGUUUAUGGUACCGAGUUUGGAUAUUAUCACUGUGAGUGGAAUAUACAAAAUUUAUUUUCAUAUUAUAUUCUAAUUUUACCAUAUAGUACAACAUAUUUUGAUAAUAAGUAUUUGAUACUUCGAUUUAAUGAUUUUCUAGAAAAUUAAAUUUUAUUCUACAUGCUGAUAUUUAUUAUUAUUGAAAAUGAGUUUGAUUAAUGAUUUUAUUAUCAUUUUUUAGAAAAUGCAUGAUAUUAGAAUUGAGUGGAUUUGAGAUAUAUUGAAUAAAAAGGAAAUGAGAUUUCAAAUGUGAUUAUAUGUUUAUGUACAUGUGUAUAAAAUGUUGUUUGGAAAAUCAUUGGACAGUACCCUUCCCCUUCAGAUACAGAGAUACAUAUAAUAUGAGAUGAAUACAAUGAUAUAGAUGAUAUGAGAUGAGAGGUCUUUGAGGCUCGUCUGAACACACAUAGAGGCUUUGGGCUGUGUGUUUGGGCGCUUUUGCCUGUUGGGGGCUUAUGUAUGCAGUAUGAUGAUUACAGAGAUACAUAUGUUGAGAUAUAUGAGAUAUGAGAUGGCAUUUUCCAGUCUAUCUGUUGUAGCUUUGGGGCAUGAUGGUUACUUGAUUGCCUGUCCGUUGAGGUCUGGAUAUGAUGAGAUUAUUCCCCUGGUUACUUGUUUAGUGAUAGUUUUUGGUAUUAAGUAUUUGAUAUUAUAAGUGCUAUGAUUUCAUUGAUUAUAUGCAGAUUUAUGCAAUAUUGUUAUUUCAGUGCAUGAUUUGAAUUAAAUAAGUUUAUGUAAGUUCUUAUGAUAUUUUGAUGAAAUUAAUUUGGAAAAGAUUAAAUCAUUUUAAAUAAAUUUAUUUUUUCAAAAACUAUUAUUCACUCACUGAGCUUACUGAGUUUUAUACUCACUUUAUUUUAUUAUAUUCCCUCUCCCCCCACAAGAGAUUUGCAGGUACAUCAGUGACCCAGUAACGAUAGUUAGAUUGAAAUUAUGGCCACGUGAUGGUGUUAGGAAUCAUAAAUGUUUUGUUGGGACAUUUUGAAUUGGAUAGUUUAUUACUUAUUUGUGAUUAAGGAUAAACUAUUGUAUUCUUAACAUUAUAUGUUUGAAGGAUACUGGUAUUUAAAUUGAGCAAGUUGGUUGUGGAGGUUGAUUAAAUAUUGUAUUAUUUUUUGGGAGUGUUAAUUGUAUAAAUUGUAGAUUUGGGGAUGUCAUAAUUAUAUAGGAGACUUUGUCGUAUUUUUGGUAGAAUUCUUAGAUAUCAGAAUUAUUAUUAAUUUGAUCAAUCGAUAUUAAAUAGACUCGGCCUGAGAAUUCGAGGCGGAUCGUUUCAAUUACCUUUAAAAAUGGUGCCUUCAAGGCUACCUUUUCUAGAACAAGGCUUGGGAACACGUUGAGAUGGAACAUAUUCAACAAUAGCCUUAAACUGAGCCCCUAAUCGAGAAUCCAAUAACACAUAGAAUUAACCAAACAGAAAGUGCCAUUUUCAUUUGAAACAACAUAAACACAUUCAUACCAAAUUAAGAUUGAUAAGUAAAAGCAAAAGGGUAAGCAAAAUUACCAUUUUCAUUAACAAACACAUGUCCAUUCAACAACUCAGCAAACUCAAACACAUCCUAAAUUUCCGGGCGAAUGCGGAACCAAUUGUAACCGUCGUUGAAGUGAUCGUGGAAAAGGGCUAAAAGGUCAUUUUGAGAGAGGGAAAGAGGCAAAUGACAAAUCACUACUUUGGUUCUCUGCAAUGGCUCCGUCAUUUCAUUGCAUUCAAUUUGUUCCGACUGUAUUGAAUUCGAAAAAUUGAAAAAGAGUUUUGAUUACUUUGUACCCUAAUUUUCAAUUUGGGUUGAGAAUGAAAUUGGAAUAUUGUUUAUUGGAAAGUUUUAGACACACAUAACCGUUGUGUUUUCCUCUGGAGAGGCCUUUGAGCACUAACAAGAUUCAUUUUUCGUUGCCUGGGGCAAAGGGCAAUUGACAUUCCUCAUUUCCCUUCGUAUUUACUUAUGGGGAGUUUAGGCCAUCUCCAAUGUGACACCAAAACUAACAACAAAUCACCUUUUACAUUAUUUUUUGUAUAAAAUGCUUCUCCAAUGUAACACCAAAACCAACACCAAAAUGAUGUUUGAAUAGUAUUGCACGAAAUAUGGUGCAAUUCUAUUCAUUUGGUGCUAGGGAAAAAAGUCCAAAUUAUCUUUAUUACUUUUUCUUAUUUACAUAUAUGUCCUAUUUUAUAUAAUAUUUUAAUUUAUUUUUAUUAUUUUAAUUUUAUUUUUAAUUUUUGAAUAUUAUACUAAUAUUUUAAAUAAAAAAUAUUCAACACAAAAAUUAAUAAUGAAAAUAUAAUGCCAAUAACAUUAAUUACUAGAUUACAUAUUACAAAGUUAAAAAUACAAAAUUAAAUUAACACAAAUUAAAAAUGCUACUACUACUAGCAUAAAUUAGAACAAUUACUUAAUAAUAUGGGAGAUCAUUAUUAGAUCUUCCAAUAUCAUCAAAAUAUUGGCCAAUAUUAUUGGAAGUAUUUUGAGAUGCUUGGCCUUGCGGAGACUUUUUUUGCAAAAUCUUAAUUUGUUCAUUUUGAAAAUAUUAACGUGAGCUCGAAUCACUUAUCGAAUUUAAAUCUUGAAGUAAAAUUUUGUUUUCUUCACGAUAUGUGACCAUCUCCAAUUUUUUUUUCUCAUUUUGGGCUCGUAUAAUUUGAAUUUGAUAAUUUUGUUGCCUAUCUUCAUUGCCUUUUUUGAGAAUUUCAUAAUGUCAUCGAUGGUCUUCUUUAAUAGUAUCAAUAACUAGUGAAUUUUGAUCUUCGACUUUCCUUUUUCCUUUUGCCUUCAGAAUGUCUCGAAGUUUAUUCAAUCGUAUUACUAACGCCGUGCAAGGUCAUGACAACUAUUUUAUGUAGCGAAGGGAUGUCGUUGGCAGACUUGGGUUAUCUAGUCUUCAAAAUAUCACUGCCGUAUUUAGAAUGUUGGCAUAUGACAUGCUAGCAGAUGCUUUUGAUGAGUAUAUUAAAAUUGGAGAGUCUACAACAAUUGAAAGUUUGAAGAGGUUCUGUCGUGUAAUUGUGGAAGUUUUUGCAGAGCAAUAUCUUAGAUCACCUAACGCUAAUGAGGUCGCUAGGCUACUCCAUGUUGGUAAAGAACGUGGUUUUCCAGGAAUGUUAGGCAGCCUAAAUUGCAUGCACUGGAAGUGGAAAAAUUGUCCAACAGCUUGGGCCGGACAAUAUGAUAGUCGUAGUGGAACCCCAACUAUUAUUUUGGAGGCUGUAGCUGAUUAUGAUAUUUGGAUAUGGCAUGCACAUUUUGGUUUGUCUGGUUCAAAUAAUGAUAUUAAUGUGUUGGAGGCAUCCUAUCUUUUUGCCAACCUCGCUUCAGGUAUUGCUCUUCCUGCUCAUUAUGUUAUUAAAGGGAACAAAUAUAAUAUGAGUUAUUAUUUAGCUGAUGAUUUCUACCCAAAAUGGUCUACUCUUGUACAAACUAUCCAUGAUCCACGUGGUCAUAAAAAAAUUAUUUGCCAUGAAACAAGAACCAUGUCAGAAAAGAUGUAUAACGUGCCUUUGGAAGCCCUCAAUCACGUUUGGCAAUUGUUGGUGGACCAUCACGCUUUUUGGAACAAACUGUGUUACUUGAAUUAAUGAUUGCUUGCAUUAUUAUGCACAAUAUGAUAAUCGAAGAUGAACGUAAUAUUAAAGCAACAAUUAAUGAUUGGAUGCAAGCACCAAUACCAACAGUUGAUAUGAGGGCAGAUGAGAAUACUAGAUUUCAAGAAUUUAUUGCUCGACACAAAAAAAAUCAAGGAUAAAGAGGCUCACAUUGCACUCCGAAAUGCACUAAUUAAUCAUUUAUGGGAUGAAUUUAAUAAUUCGAAUAACUAGAGUAUUAUUAUUGUUAUUUUAUUUUUCUAUAUUAAUGUAAUGUUUAAUUUUCAUAAUACACUAAUUUAGUUAAUUAAAGGCAAAUUUAAUAAUUUUCUAUAUUUUUUUUUGUUAAUCGAUAUAAAAUUACUUAGUACUUAAUUAUCUAUAUUAAUAGUAAUAUUUAUUGUGUUAAUUGAAUUAAUUCUUGAUAAUUAAAAGAAGAAAAAGAAGAAUAUUCUUUUUGGUAUAAAAUUUGGUGCAAAUGGGUUGGAGAUGAAAUAAUAAUUUGGUGAGAAAAAAGCACAUUUUUGGUGUUACAUCAAAAUGGUGUUAAAGCAUUGGAGAUGCCUUUAGGGGCCUUGACGUAUAAAAUGACCAAAAAGCCCCUAUGUAGUAUGAAUAUGCUGAUUUAAUAAAGAAAGAUUAUCAAUAAUAUUAAUAAUGGGAAAUUGUUAGCUCUCCUUUAUUCAAAUCAAUAUAUAUUAAUUGCUUUAGUAUUGCUUUUAUAAUGCACAAUAAUUUUUUAUUAGUAUAAUUUUAUAGUAUAAUUUUUAUUUUAAAUAAAUUUUUAUUCAUAAUUAUUAUAAAUUAAAUGAAUUUUUUAUAUUAUAAAACUAGUAAUAAAUAAGUGAUAUAUAUUAGUUCUAAUAGAAAAAAAUUAACAACUUCCUUAAUAAUAAAAGUGACGAAAUAAUGAAAGGCAAAAGAGGGAAAUUGUAUGUUCAUUCCUCUUUUAGAUUCUUUUCUUCUCAACUUUCUAUUUAAACUCUUUUAUAUUCUUUACUUCUCAACUUUCUAUUUAAACUAUCUUAUAUUCUUUUCUUCAAACUCUUUUAGAUUCUUUUCUACAUUCCAACUUUCUAUUGAAACUCUCUUACAUCUUUUAUUUCUUAACUUUCUAUUUAAACUCUCUUACAUCCUUUACUUCUUAACUUUCUAUUACAUUCAUUACUCAAUUUAUAAAUUUCAUACCUUAAAUCCUACAAUUUAAAUCAAGUCUCUUAUCCUUUCUCAUCUCUUCAUACGCAAUGCAAUCUUUUUAGUUCUCCUCUCUUUGCAAGUAAGUAAAAUCUUAGUUCAUCGCAUCAUCUCACAGUUUGUUUUCAUAGUUUUCUUUCUCCAAAUUGCCCUCGCAUUUUCCUCUCAAUCUCAAUUUCUGGUUUUUUUGUUUGUUGUAGACUCGAUUUUCUUUACCUCGGUUUGUAAAUUUUAUCGGAUGUAAUGCAUAAUCAUGGGCGACCCAAUUAAGGCUCAAGAGGGGCUUCAGCCCCUUUUGGGCCAUUAAUUUUUCUUUUAAAUGUACCACACGCCCCUUCUAAAAGAAUUAAAUAAAAAAAUUUGGACACAUAUUUUAUGUAACAAAAGACUUAUAGUUCAAUAAUAAGAGUACUAUUUGAUGGUUUUAAAGUCCUGGUUUAAAUCCCAGUAGCCACAUUAUUUUGUUUCUUUUUAUAAAUAGUUUUUGAAAAUUACUUAGACAAAUGAUACGUUCAUGCAUUUAAAAUAAAAAGUUUAUUACUAUUAUUAUUUAAAAUUUAAAAGAAAAUAAUAAAAUUUGAGUUUAUGAGAUUUAAAAUGUAUUCGUGUGAACAUUAAAAAAAACCCCAAAUUAAAUAAAAUGUUUUGAACUAAUCUCCCUAAUUUAAGUGUCUGGGUCCGCCACUAUGCAUAAUUAAUCGUCGUCGUUUUUCUUUUCAAUAAUUUCGUGAAACAAGCAUAAUUAAAUUAAAUUAUACAUAUGCAUAAUUAAUUAAUUAACUGAUGUUGUUUAGAUUCCGUGCUUGAUUAUAUAGCAAUUCAUCAUAUUUUAUUAUGAUUAUAAAUUUAACUAUAUGGUCGGGGUCUGAAUGAUUUUUAUUUUUAAUAUAUUUUUAUGAAUUUAUUCAUGUUCGGUUGGAUAAUAUUUAAAGUAAUAACAAAUAUAAGUUUUAAUGGAGUGAAAGUGGUUUGAUGUUGUAAAUGCAUUGCAGGUAAAUUAAAUUUUUUUUUAGGAUGGGAGAAAGAGUGGUUGAUGGCGAUUGGAAGCCUACUUCUCCAUCUAAUGGGGAGCGCACUGUGGUUUUACUUGGCCGUACUGGCAAUGGCAAAAGUGCGACGGGCAAUAGUAUUCUCGGAAGAACAGCCUUCAAGGCGAGUGCUGGCUCGUCUGGUGUUACUAAAACUUGUGAAAUGAAGACAACCGUGCUCAAAGAUGGCCAAGUUGUUAAUGUCAUUGAUACCCCCGGUAAUUUGCUAAUGUUGGUUCCUAGAUAUUCCAUUCCAUGCUUGUUGAUGUUGUGAUGGUAAGUAGAUUGAUGUUACGAGCCAUUGCAGGACUUUUUGAUUUGUCUGCUGGCUCUGAGUUUGUCGGCAAGGAAAUUGUCAAAUGUCUCAGUAUGGCCAAGGAUGGCAUCCAUGCAUUCCUUGUAGUUUUCUCCGUUACAAACCGUUUUUCUCAAGAGGAAGAAACUGCAGUACACCGUUUGCCGAACUUGUUCGGGAAAAUUUUUUUUGACUAUAUGAUUGUUGUUUUCACUGGAGGGGAUGAACUUGAAGAUAAUGACGAAACGUUAGAAGAUUAUUUGGGUCAUGAGUGUCCAAAGCCUUUAAAGGUUUGUUUCUAAACUCUUUAUAGUGUUCGAUAAUUUCAUCAGUCAUUUUGAUCAAGUUGUCUUUGGCUGGUUCUUUUGUGAAGUUUUAGACUCCUUUACGGUUGGACUAUUGGAAGGUUAAUAUGAAUAAAUGCAUGCUGAAAAUACUAGAUAGGUUUAUAGUAGGCCAGCCGUCUUAAAGUUCCAUUUUCAAUGGUGCUUCAUUUCCUGAAUGGUUUUCUUCUGCCAUGCGGGAUUGGCCGGAGAGGUGGUUGGUAAUUUUCUGCUGGCGUUACUUAAUUUUACUUAUACGUUAUUGUCUUCGAAUGAGAUAUCAUUCAUUCAUUCGCUAAACAUUUUUGCUUUUCGUAUUUGUAUUCUUUGAUUUCCUCUGCUAUUUAAUCUUGGUUCUUAUUCUAUUAAGGUGUGUUCAUUUGUUUGUUUCUUAAAAUAUGUACCUCUUUGAUUUAUACGCUCAAAAUUUACGUAUUUUUAAGAUUUUAAAAGUGGCCCAAAGAGAAUGUGACUUGCUAUACAGGUCCAUUUUAUUCGGCGUUGUUUGAACAAAAUAUGAAGACUAACUUUACAAGAUUUAAAAUUCUCUUAAAAGUUCCUGUGGAUUCUCGGCUCAGAAUUGGUGUCUAAAAUUUCAAUGUGAGAUCUUUUUUCAUUUUCAACAUGCAAAUCUCUUAUUUUCAGAAUUUACUUGAUGAUUUUGGUUCCUAAAAUUUUUUAACUUGAGAAAGAUUUAUAUCAAGUUCUUCUAUUUUACUGCAUACUUGAUUCAACCUAUGAGGAGUGGGAAGAAAAAUAACAAAAAUGAAAAUAAAGACCCCUUCAAGUUGUAGCUUUGCAAUUAACAAAAUCGGGUUAUUUUACAGUUAAAGGGAACUUCGUUUUACUUAUUGUACUUAUUAUUAUUAUUAUUAUUCCUACUACUACUACUUAUGUUAUAUGGAAUGCUGAUCACCUUUUAAGACUUUUAAAUUUGAUGGACGUAAGAGGUUAUGUAAGUGGUCAAACCAUAAGGAGAAUGGAAUUGAUUAUUGAAUAGUUUUUGAGGAUGCCUGAUAUUAAGUACUAACGAUCACAAUAAAAACAAAUUUUGUCAGCUUAAUAUCCUCAAACUUUUAGAGACUACAAGUGUUUGAUUGGUUCAUCAAUGCUUACCGAAAGGAGCUAACAUUUGCUUUAUUCCUGAUAAUUUUCCCAUUAUUUUAGGAAAUCCUUCAACUAUGUGAUAAUAGGUGCGUGCUUUUUGAUAACAAGACCAAGGAUGAGGCCAAGAGAACCGAGCAGGUUCGGCAGCUUCUUUCUCUGGUUAACUCUGUGAUCGUGCAGAAUGGUGGGCAGCCAUAUACGGACGAGUUGAAGGUGACUUCAUUACUAUCGGGAUAGACUUCUGUGCUGCUUCUUUCUGAAUAUGUCAUGACAAUAUCUCUUUUUCUUUUUUUCUACUCAGAGAGGGGCUACUGAACUCCGUGAUAAAAAAGCUGAGGUUGAUUCUCUCAAGGAAUAUUCAAAACGAGAAAUUUCAAAGCUGAUGGGCCAGAUGCAGGAAUCAUAUGAAGAUCGAAUCAAACGAAUGGCUGAGAUGGUAUUUUUUAUGCUCCAUGUUUUGGCAUCAAAAUAUGACAUGCAUAUGUGUUCAUCUAUCAAAUCGGGUAAUCAUUUCUCAAACUGUGUAAUUAAAAAAUGCCUAUAAAGCGUGCAGGUACCUGUAACGAUAUUCUAAAUUGUUAGACUUGGAGGUGGUAAAGACUGCCGCUCUGUCCAUACCCCUAGAUUGUUGGAGAUUGCCAUAUGAAAAGAGGCCUUAUCUUGCUAGUUGAUGUGGACAAAUCUGUUAUUAUUUGUUCACUCAUUAUGUUUUGAAGGCCGUAACAUGCUGUUCUUACCUUGAAGAUUGUUUGACGGUCCUGCUCUGUUUUUUGUUGAUGAAAUUAAGUAGGUUAUUCUAUGGUAGUAGCUGUAGGUGGUUUACUAAUCAUGACUUACACUAAGGUGGAUUCUGCACUUGUUUAGUCAUCAAUCAUGAGAACAUUUCUUGUAAUACUGUGGGAACAAUUGAAAUGUUACGAGCAGGCUAUGUCAUAUUUUAAUUUUGUUAAAAAUAGAAUAGCCACAUUCACAAUAAGUUUUUAUGAAAAUAUAGUUACGCACGUGAAACCUAAUCAAAUGGCUGCGUAGUUUUGAUUUUCCUUUCCACAGUUUUAAUUUAUUGCAAGGCAAUAGAAUGAUUCGGCAUUAAGCCAGAUCCUAUUCAACAAUAAUCUGGAUUUCCUGUAACAUUCUGUGUAAUGAUUAUAUGUCUGAGGUGCUUAUAAGUUUUAUUCUCGACAAUCCUGGAGUAUGGCAAAAUGAAAAAGUUAGCAGAUUCUUUAACACUUUAUAUUUUGGAUUUAUGUGUUUAUUUUUUUAAGCUUUUGUUUCUACCAUUUAUCAAUGAUUGAGAGUGGAAUUGAUUGGUCAUAAAGAGUUGCCGAGUAUGGUGAACUUAGCAACCCGCUUUGCAAUUGAAUUAAACUAAAUUGAUACUUAAGAAUUUUCUUCUCUUAAGUUGGAGUUCUAUAUUACCAAUACCCAAUUUUUUUGUAUUGUGCUGCUACUCUAGGGCCUAGUGGCAUGUUUUCUGACUAAUAUUGAUGCUUUUUUGAUAGGUUGAGUCUGGGCUCAAAGAGACAACAACUAGGCUCGAACAGCAAUUGGCAAAGGAGCAAGCUGCUCGAUUAAGGGCAGAAGAGGUAGCACAAUUAGCUGAAAUGAAGUUAAAAGACGAAAUUCAAUCUCGAAAUAUUGAGAAGGAGACUGCGGAACUCCCUAAGCCAUCUGAAAAUCCUCCGCGGGAGCCCCCUAGGCCACCUGAAAGUCCUCCGCCGAAGCCCUCUAGCACAUCUGAUGGGUGGUGUGCCAUUAUGUAAAUGUUCGCAGUCCAGACGCUUAUAUCUUCUGCUAUGUAAAUGUUCACAGUCCAAUCUCGAGUGCGGUCUUAGGAUAGUACUAUAUGAAAAAGCGGUAUUGACAUGAAAUGAAGUUUCAUUUAUGGAGGCGUCUAGAAUCUUUUCUUACACGGUGGAUCCGAAGAGAUCUAAUUCCUUUUCUCCUCAUUGAGCUCUUAACGAACGCUAUAUUGUUUUCACAUUUGUAGCAGAUACUACCCAAAAUGUGCCCUUCUAACAAUCAUGACUUUCCCAAAAAUUCAAACCGACUAACAGAGUAAUCCUAAUAUCCGAAAGACUUGCAAUAAAACCACCAAGCCUAUGACCCUUCUCUGAUACACACCAUAGUUCAACUAGCUCAUAAUGCAAAUCCUUCGACAUCACACAGCCUCAGUUUUGAAAGUUUUAUAGAUAUUAAGUUUCAGCAUAAUAACUGGUCUCCCAAAGAGAAGAUGCCAAUGAUAAGUCAGCGUAAGUAAUUAGGUUACACAUAAACUCAUCCAGUUUCAUAUAUUUCUGGUUUCAAAAAUAGGUAUCAAGUAGCACACACAUUCAGUGGAUAAUGUAGUCUUAUCAUAGAUCCCGCACUGAGAUGCCACAAGCUUGAUCUCCAGCAUCUAGCUUAUCUGCAAAUGGGAGAAAACAUUAAUGCACGCGCAACACGAGUGUGUAGAAAUGAAAUGCGAUGGGAGAAUUAAUUACCUGAGAUGGAGUAUCUUCUUGUCCGGGUGAGAGUAAGCAGUGCCACCACCCUUGAUGAUAGGAGGACUGAAGAAAAUCCGAGAAGCUAAUGCAUGAAUUGCAUUCAGCUCUUGCCCAGUCACCAUGUUUGCUUGUUCUCCAUUUAUGCUAUCUGAGUUUCAGAAACAAUGUAAUUUUAAUAACGUGCUGAAAUUUUGGAAGAGGGCGAGAAAAAAUGCAUUAUACAUACCAUGGACUGAUUUGCAUACCUUUGAUCGGAGACACACGCUUUCAUUUGCCAGCUCAACCUCCUAUGAAAAUGAAAAUAUUAAAGAUUUCCAUAAAACCUUGGAAGAAAACGAAAAAAUGGCUAAACAGGAUUUAAUGAAUUUUAAUUAUUACCCAUUUCUGCAAGAACUCAAUUGCAGGUAGCAGCAUUUCAUGCUGUUGCACAGACUGACAUAAAUUGCAACAAAUUAUUUUCAAAAUGACAUAAGUUACAUAUACUGAACGUAUAUCGAUAAAGUUUUUGCAAUGUAUUAUUGUAAAACAAUUGUGUAUUUCUCAAAUUCAAUUAUUUGUUUCGGUCGAUUUCGUGCAUGCAUAAUGCAAUUAAUUAAUUACCUUCCGGGACCUGAUCCUAGUGAUGCGCCACUCAAGCCUGUUCUCCAGUUGCUUAAGCUCCUUUACAGUUAAAGAACUCAGAGAAUCACUCAUCAGAUGCCUAUAUGAAGAGUCAAAAGUGAGAUAACCAAUCGAAAAUUCAAUUGAAAUUGUAUAUUUUGGCAAAAUUAAUUAACUAUGCUUAAUAUGAAAAUAGUUGUUGAUGAAAUAAUUGAAAAUACCUGUUAGAAUUCAGUGACAUUUGAAUUUGCUGCCGCAGCUUUGCUGACUCCUGCUGAUAGUACUGUUUCCAUGGGUCGCAUGUAAUGGGAGAAGUUAAAUUUUUAUUGGGAACUUUAUAUUUCAAUGCUAGCCAUGUGGUAAUAAAUGAUAAUAACCUGUUUUUUUUUUUUCACCUUUUCAUAAUAAUAUAUAUUCCUAGCAACGCCUGAAUUUAUAGCUUAAAUUAGUGAAUUACUUACCCGAGCAUUGAUCUCAGUAACAGUGCCAGAAUUUAUUUAUUUUACAGCUCAAACUACAUACAUUUAUACACACACAAAGACACACACUAUGAACAGCAGGUUCUAUUCAUCAAAUUCAUCUAAAAAUAACUAACUUACCGGAUAGCUCAACUUCUUUUCUUCCUACUGAAUGAUCAAUUAUCAGAGUUAUAUUAAUCAAGUCCCUUUUAAAAAUGAUACAUCGCACCCCAAAACUUCUCGAUAAAAAGUGACUCUUCUCAAAAGAAAAAAAAUUUCAAAAUUAAAUUGUUUACUCUAAAAAGGGAAAAUUUNNNNNNNNNNNNNNNNNNNNNNNNNNNNNNNNNNNNNNNNNNNNNNNNNNNNNNNNNNNNNNNNNNNNNNNNNNNNNNNNNNNNNNNNNNNNNNNNNNNNNNNNNNNNNNNNNNNNNNNNNNNNNNNNNNNNNNNNNNNNNNNNNNNNNNNNNNNNNNNNNNNNNNNNNNNNNNNNNNNNNNNNNNNNNNNNNNNNNNNNNNNNNNNNNNNNNNNNNNNNNNNNNNNNNNNNNNNNNNNNNNNNNNNNNNNNNNNNNNNNNNNNNNNNNNNNNNNNNNNNNNNNNNNNNNNNNNNNNNNNNNNNNNNNNNNNNNNNNNNNNNNNNNNNNNNNNNNNNNNNNNNNNNNNNNNNNNNNNNNNNNNNNNNNNNNNNNNNNNNNNNNNNNNNNNNNNNNNNNNNNNNNNNNNNNNNNNNNNNNNNNNNNNNNNNNNNNNNNNNNNNNNNNNNNNNNNNNNNNNNNNNNNNNNNNNNNNNNNNNNNNUCUAUGUCGAACCGACGUCUAGUUUAAAUUACAUACAUUUACACACACACAAAGACACACACUAGGAACAGCAGGUUCUAUUCAUCAAAUUCAUCUAAAAAUAACUAACUAACCAGAUAGCUCAACUUCUUUUCUUCCUACUGAAUGAUCAAUUAUCAGAGCUACAUUAAUCAAGUCACUUUUAAGAAUGAUACAUCGCACCCCAAAACUUCACGAUUAAGAGUGACUCUCUCAAAAGAAAAUAUAUUCCAAAUUAAAUUGUUACUCUAAAAAUGGUAGAUUUGAGAGAAUAAUAAAACAAUAUCACACGCUCUCACCAAGAUGAAAAAAUAAUACCUACAGCUUAGAAAUAAAAUGAUCUCAAGUCCAAGGAAGUACUAGCAAAAUCAAUUUUUAUUUUUAUGCAUCACCAUAUCUUUUAGUCCAUAUCACCAACUUUACUUCAGACUAUAGUUCCCUAAAAUCAAGAAGGACUUUUGUUAAGACGUAACGUAUGCUAGGGUUAUGGUUAACAAAAAAGGUAAUGAGGAAAACAAAAAUAUAUGUUUGAAAAAUAGGGGACUUUUUGGAGAUUACAAAGUGCUUUUUUUUUUGGGAUUUUUUUCUUUUUUUAAAUUUUUAUUUUUAUAUACAUAUCUUUUUUUUUUCAUAGCACCAUUAUUAUGAAUACAUAAUCAUCCCUAUUUUCAAACAUAAUUGGGUGAUGGAAAACAUAAAACAUAAGGUGAUACUCCACAUUGGAGUAGGAAAAGAUGAUAGGUUACCAAAGAAAUUUUUUUUUCAAAGGAUCAAAGGGGUUAACUAUGGAUUCUUUGUAAUAGGGUUGGCUAGAAAAGCUCAAACGGAUCAAAUAUGACAUUCUGUCAUUUUUUAAGGGCUUUAAAUAAUCUUUCAUAUCCACUAGUUCAAUGGACUUUUAGAUGCGGCUGCACAAACUUUCUCUUUUUUUACUUUUUUUAUAAAGAAAAUAUUGAGAUCUUGUACAAUAAAUUGUGAAGUUAUAUAGGCAAACAUGGUUAUCUCCAAGGAUAAUAGGCUCAAAAACUCAUUUGAACUUUUCAUAACAUGCACAUUCCUCUAAAUGACUUAAUCAAUUUCACUCAUCUAAUUUCUCAAUUUACAUUUCAACAUGCAAAGGGGAAAACAUAGUGUAACAUAACUCAAGGCCAAAGAUAAUACGAAUACCAAAAUUUGAAAAUCAUCAUGUUUUCCAAUGUGAAAAGAUCACAUCGAAAAAUAUUUUUUUUUAAUUAAAGAAAACACUAAAAAAUUGGGACUGAUUGCAGAAACUUCAGGAGGAUAAUUAAGAGAAAAAGAGAAAAAGAGAAAAAGAAAAAAAGAAAGAAAAAAAAAGUUAGAAAAUAAUUUUUUUUUUGGGAAAACAAAACACUAAAUUUAAGAAGAUGCGUUUCUAGAGACACUACAUUCUAUAUUCUGCCAUCUUCGACUCAAAUAUUUAUCCAAAGUUAGUCUUUACAACAAAAAUUAAUAAAAACAUUACCAGGACUGAGAUAUUCCAUAAUUGUCAACUAUUCCCUCUCCCCAACAUGAAGGAGACAUUGUCCUCAAUGUCUAAAGAAAGGAAUAGAGUUUAGAAGAUAUCACUUGGCCACUACUGGAAAUAUUUACGAAUGCAGAGUUAAAUCUAAUCUACACUUGUUACGAGAGUUACUGCCAUCGUCAUCAGUUGUCCAAUCCAACGCCAAAGUCAUGGGAUCUGGCUUUGGUUUGUAAGCUUGCAAAAGAUCAAGUAACUCAUUAAUAGUUGGAGCACAAAUGAAGAGUUUUUUCGCUGAGGAUGGAAUGAAAUGAUUUUUAAUUGCAUGAUUAAGAAAUGUUAUUAAGCCAUCAUAAAAGUUAUUAACAUUUAACAAACUGAUGGGUUUUUUAUGGAUAUUCAAAUGGGCCCAAGAAGCAAAUGUAAUUAGCGCUUCUAAAGUUGUAAGGUCUCCUAGCAAGAAAAUGAAAGCAUCAACAUGAUUUAAUAUUUCAGAUAUUCUUUCUUGCAUACCUGAUAUAACUAACUCUUAUCCAGUUGGUGUGUUUGGUAGACAUCCUAAAGGUUUUAAGGCUUUUAGAAUGAUGCCUAACACUUGGCUUCCUUGAAUGAAAGCAGCUUCAAAGAUAAGUUUUGAUAACCCUCAGUCACCUCCUCCAUAUACAAGAUGGAGUUUCAUCUCUGCUAUAACAUGACCAAGAUCUAUGGCCGCCUGAACAAACUCCUUAUACUUUCCAUAGCAAAAUCUAGAAAGCACACAAAUGUUCUUUAGUUGUCUGCUUGAAGUUGCUGCCAUUAGAAAAAUUCUAAAAAGAAAGAAUUUGUGAGUGCUUAAAAAGGAUAGAUCUCAAAUGGGAUGUGAUUUACAAAACCGGAGCAAUUUCCUUACGUGAAAAUUUACAUGUAAAAGCUCUUUAAGAUGAUCGAAAAUGAAAUUUCUCAUGGAGGUACUCAUGACAAGUAUAAAAAUUUGGUGAGCUAAAGCACAAUUGUCAAAUAACACACAAUUAAAAAUAAUGCAAUGCACUCUAUUCAAAACAUAGGGAAAAGGAAAAAAAAUCAAAUAAUUCAAACGAUAAAGUAACAUUAAAUCAAAUUCACAAAAAGUUAAAAUGAAAAGGCUCAAUUAAAAUUUGGUGGGUCACUUAAAUUGAUUUCGGUAUCUGCUUCACGUGGUUGGUAUUCCAUAUAUGGUUUCAAUUUUUGACCAUUAACUUUAAAUGUGGCACCAUCCUUUGGAUUCUCAAUUUCUAUUGCUCUAUAUGGAUACACAUUUUUUACAACAAAUGGACCAUUCCACAUUGCCUUUAACUUUCCUGGAAAUAAAUGAAGACGAGAAUUAUAAAGCAACACUUUUUAACAAAUUUCAAAUGUUUUCCGAAAAAUUCUUUUGUCAGGAAAAAAAUUGGUUCUUGCCUUAAUAAUUCUGGAAUUCUCAUAUGCAUUAUUCCUUAAUUCCUCAAGUUCAUUUAAUUACAAUUUAUGCACAUUACCAGCAUUAUCAAGAUUUGAAUUAAAAGCUUUAAUAGCUCAAAAUGAUUUAUGUUCAAGUUUAACUGGUAAGUGGUAAGAUUUUCCAUAAACAAGCCGAUAGGGUGACAUUCCUAAAGAUGUUUUAAAAGCAGUACGAUAUGCCCAAAUUGCAUCAGUUAGUUGAAGAGACCAUUCUUUACGGUUUGGAUUAACUGUCUUUUCUAAAUUUGUUUUAUCUCUCUAUUUGCUAAUUCAACUUGACCACUUGUUUGAGGGUGAUAAGGGGUAGCAACUUUAUGUGUAAUUAUAUAUUAUUUCAUUAAGGACUCAAAUGGCUUAUUACAAAAAUGCUUACCUCCAUCACUGAUAAUGGCUCGAGGUAUUCCGAAUCUGUUCAAAAGAUUUUCUUUUAAAAAGCAGAUCACAAUCUUGUGAUCAUUGUGCCGACAAGGAAUUGCCUCGAUCCAUUUUGAAACAUAAUCAACAGCAACCAAAAUGUAUACAAAUCUAAAUGAUGAUGAAAAAGGGCCCAUAAAAUCAAUUCCCCAACAAUCAAAUAUUUCAAUGACGAGGAUGAGGUUUAAAGGCAUCAUGUUUCGCUUUGAAAUAGACCAUACUAUUUGACAAUUCUUACACACUUUACAUAAUACAUGUGAAUCUCUAAAUAAUGUAGGUCAAUAAAAUCCACACAGUAAUAUUUUUGCAAUUGUCUUUUUUGAAGAAAAAUGGCCACCACAUGCUUCAGAAUGACAAAAUUGAAUGACCCUACUUACCUCGUUGUCUGGUAUGUAUCUUCGAAAAAUUUGAUCAGAGCAGUACCUAAACAGGUAUGGAUCAUGCUAGUAAAAACUUCUCACUUCUGUUAAGAAUUUCUUCUUGUCCUGGGAACUCCAGUCAGAUGGUAUUUCACAUGUUGGAAGAUAAUUAACAAUAUUAGCAUACCAAGGCAUUAAGUUUACAGAAAAGAAUCAUUGAUGGGUGUUUAUGGGUUUUGUUUCAAUUGAAGACUCAUUCGUAAGUCUUGAAAGAUGAUCUGCAAUAACAUUUUCAACGCCUUUUUUGUCCUUGAUUGUCAAGUUAAAUUCUUGAAGUAGCAAAAUCCAUCGUAUCAACCUUGGUUUGGCAUCCUGUUUUGACAUUAAAUAUCUCACACCAGCAUGAUCAGAAUAAACAAUAGUGGAUGAACUAAUUAAAUACGAACAAAUUUAUUCAAUGCAAAUAUUACAGCAAGCAGUUCGUUUUCAGUUGUAGUGUAAUUCAUUUGAGCACUAUUUAAAGUUCUACUUGUAUAAUAGAUGACAAAGGGCUUACAUUACUUUCUUUGACCCAGAACGACACCAACAAUAUAAUCACUAGCAUCACACAUUAGCUCAAAAGGUAAAGACCAAUAAAGGGGUUGCAUUAUCGGGGUUGAUGUCAAAAGAGUAGUUAUUUUUUCAAAAGCUUGUUAACAAUCUUUAGUCCAUUCAAAAUGUGUGUCUUUUAUUAGGAGGUUACAAAGUGGUCUAGAUAUGACACUAAAGUCUUUUAUAAACUUCCUAUAAAAUCCUGUAUGUCCUAAAAAGGAACAGACUUCUCUAAUUGUCUUUGGUGAGGGUAAUUUUGAAAUGACUUCAACUUUGGCUUUGUCAACUUCAAUUCCUUUUGAAGACACAACAUGGCCCAAGACAAUUCCAGAAGUGGUCAUGAAAUGGCAUUUUUCCUAAUUUAAAACUAGUCCUUUUUCUUUGCACCUUUUACAAAUGUUUUCUAGAUUAUUAAGACCUAUAUCAAAAGAAUUACCAAAUACAGUUAAAUCAUCUAUAAAAACUUCAAGACAAUUUUCAACCAUGUUACUAAAAAUGUUUACCAUGCACCUUUGAAAUAUUGUAGGAGCAUUACAAAGUCCAAAAGGCAUUCUCCUAAAUGCAAAUGUUCCAAAUGGGCAUGUGGAUGUGGUCUUUUCCUGGUCUUCUAAGGCUAUAGGGAUUUGAUAAUAGCCAGAGUAACCAUCAAGAAAGCAGUAGUAGGAAUGUUCAGCCACUCUUUCGAGAAUUUGGUCUAAAAAUAACAAGGGAAAAUGAUCUUUUUUAGUGGCAUCAUUUAAUUUUCUGUAAUCAAUGCACAUUCGCCAACUGGAUAGAAUUCAUGUUGGGAUUGGUUCACCUUUUUCAUUUUUUACAACGGUUAUUCCAGAUUUCUUUGGUACUUCCUGUGUUGGACUUACUCAUUUACUAUCAGAGAUAUGAUAGAUAAUUCAUACAUCUAGUAGUUUAAGGACCUCAUUUUUUACCACUUCUUUCAUAUGAGGGUUUAGUCUUCUUUGUGGUUGAUGAGUUGUUUUGGUAUUUUCCUCUAAGUAUAUUCAGUGUGUGCAAAUUAAAGGAUUAAUGCUUUUUAUGUCUUUUAAGGUCCAACCAAAUGCAAUUUUAUGCCUUUUUAAUAUAGACAACAACUUACCUUCUUGAUCAUGCGUGAGUUGGGAAGAAAUUACCACCGAAUAUGUUUGCUGCUCUCCAAGAUAGGCAUACUUCAAUUUUCUAGUAAGGGCUUUAAUUCGGGCUCUGGUGCUUCAUCUUCGUUUGGUUUUUCAGGUUGUACCGUAUCUUCAAAGUUCGAUUGGUCAUUGUCACAUGUAGGUACCUGCAUAGAAUCAAGUGUAGGGCAUAUGUUAGCAGCAUCACAAUCUAAUUCCUUAUUUGAUUCAAAAGAACCAGCAAAACAAAUUUCUACAGAGUUUGUAAAAUUCUCACCCUGAAUGUAUUCCUCAAUGAUUGGCUCUAUGAGAUCAAUCUCCUCAUUCUCAUUAUCAUCAUCUUCUUGGUGGUGAGGGUGUUUACAUAUGUUGAAUACAUUGAGUUCCAAUGUUAUAUUACCGAAAGAUAAAUUCAUUACUCCAUUCCUGCAAUUAAUCAAAGUAUUAGCAACAGCUAAAAAUGGUCGACCCAAUAUAAUAGGAAUUUGUUUGUAUUCAUUAGCAAUUGGUUUCGUUUCUAAAACAAUAAAAUCCACAGGGUAUAUGAAUUUAUCAACUUGGACUAAUAUAUCUUCAAUUAUUCCUCUUGGAACUUUAAUCGAUCUAUUAGCAAGUCAAUGAGUGGUAGAAGUUAGUUUUAACUCACCGAGAUUGAGUUGUUGGUACACUGAGUAAGGAAGCAAAUUAACACUAGCACCAAGAUCAAGUAAAACAUGGCCAAUUUUGUGAUCCCUAAUAGUGCAACAAAUAGUUGGACUAUCAGGAUCCUUGUAUUGCAAAACACUAUUGGUUGAGAGAAUUGAACUUACCUGUUCUGCUAGAAAAGCUCUCUUUUGCACUUUAUGUUUCCUUUUCAUCGUGCACAGAUCUUUUAGAAAUUUAGCAUAAGAAGGCACCUGUUUAAUGACAUCCAACAGAGGAAUAUUGACCUUUAUUUGUUUAAAAACUUCAUAAAUUUCUAGACUGUUGUUUGAUUUCUUUGGCUUAAUCAGUGCUUGAGGAAAUGAGAGUACAUGAGGAGAGUUGGUUAUUUCUUCAUGGGUUAAAGGUUCGACAGACUCUUCCCUAUUUUAUGAAAUUGAAUCUUUACUAGUUUCAUGAGGGUCCACAAUGUGUUUUUCGACCACUUUACCACCACGAAUAGUUAUAACCGAUUUGACUUGACUCAUAUUUUGGUUUCCUAAAUUUUCCAUUUGAGGAUGUUGUUGACUCCUGGGGUUUUGUUCAGGUUGAGCAGGAAACUUUCAUUUUUCAUGCAUUGUCGGAACAAAUGUAAGUUUGGAGAUAGUUUCUGUCAAAUUGGUUAAGAUUUGCAUCGUUUGGUUAUUGAUUGACUCUUAUUUUUUAAUAAACGAAUGCAAUGGGUCUUCCAGAGUUUUUCUUGUUGGUGGGACAUAUGGUGGGUAACUCUGGAGGUUUUGGAAAAUUUGACGUGGAGGAACUGGUUGUGAAGGUUGUGCAUGAUUGUCAUUUCUCCAAUUAAAAUUUGGGUGGUUUCUCCAACCAGAGUUGUAAGUUUGGGAGAUGGAUUUGGAUUUGGCCUUUUGAAAUUGUCAACGACAUUUACUUGCUCAUGCAAACUUUCUCUCAAAGCUGGCAAAGUUGGACAGUCCUGCGUAAAAUGGUCAGUAGAAUCGCAAACAUAACAUGAAAUAUUGUGAACAGACUUUACAUGAUCAUUCUUUUUCAAUUCUAAUGCUUCGACUUUUCUAGCCAAUGAUGCAAAUUUAGCUUGAAAAUCAUGGUCUUCCUUAAGGUUAUGCAUACCUCCACCAGAUGGAGAUGACUGGGGUUUACUUGAUGACUCAUAAGAGCCAACUGUAUCCCAAUGUUGCGCAUUCUCUGCUAUAUAGUCAAGAUAGUCUAAUGCAUCUUCAGGACUUUUAUCCCUAAACUCACCAUUACACAUUAUUUUAAUGACUCUUCUACCUUGGGAUGUUAAUCCCUCGUAGAAAUAAGACACUAAUCUUUAUGUAUCAAAAUUGUGGUGUGGGCAAAUGUUAAGUAGUUCUUUAAAACUAUCUCAACAUUGGUAGAGAGUUUCUCCUGAUUUUUGAGUGAAAGUGGUGAUUUGUCUUGUGAAAGAAUUUGUUCUGUGGGGUAGAAAGAAUUUUUUCAAAAAUUGUGUUUGCAUUUCAUCCCAAGUUCUGAUAGAUCUUGACCUAAGAUUUUGUAGCCAAGUUUUACCUUUAUCUUUUAGUGAGAAAGGAAAAAACUUAAGCCUGAUUAUAUUCAUGCUACAAUUUUGAUCAGUACAUGUGUUAUAGACUUCCUCAAAUUCCCUUAAAUGCAAAUAUGAAUUUUCAGACUCCAAACCAUGAAAAGUAGGAAGACAUUGAAUGAUACCAGGUUUGAAAUUAAAAUGUGAUGCAUUAGGAGGGAAAACUAUGCAUGAUGGUUAUCUUGUUCUAAUAGGAUGCAUGAAGUCUCUAAGAGUCCUAGGCUAUUCAUGAAGAUUUUGCAAGGCUUAGUCAUUUUCGUGCUCCAAAAUAUUUUCAGCUCCUAUGUCAGCCAUAUCUAAGGGUGGUGAAGGUGAUUUUCUAAUUAAUCUACCACUAUUUGUACGAGACCAACGACGCAUGCAAUGCUAAUGAUGUGUGCUAAACCAACGAUGCAUAAAACGCUAAAUGAAAAUUGCAAAAAAUAAAAAUAAACUGGAAAUUAAAUAAGCAAAAAUACAAAAUAAAAAUAAACAAACUGAAAAUAAAUAAAAUCAAUAAAUUAGGCGGUGAAACCAGCCAUAAACAAAGAAAUUAAAAGAAACAGUUUAGGUGGUAUUUUAAAACCAUACAUAUAAUAAAACAUAAAAUUAGAUAAAUUAAUGUACAAGAAUAAAUAAACUGAAAUUAAAAUGAUAGGCGGUAGAACCGACCCUAUAAACACAAAUAUAUAAAUUAAAAAAAUUUAAAUAACAGUUAGGCGAUAGAACCGACCAUUUAAAAUAAAUGCGUAAAGUAAAUUGUAGAAAUUCAAAGAAAUAAAUUCGAUUUGGGGAUUGAUUUGCAAAGGUUUCUGGGCUAAAAUGAAGUUUCUCAUAAAUUUUAUAGAUAAUGUUAAAGUUUGAAAAGAGGAGGGGUGCUAACUAAAGUUUUGUGAAAAGAGAAUAAAAUAGGAUCACGGAAAGAUAGCAAAGACAAAAAAAUAAAAAUAAAAUAAAAAUAAGUAAAGACAAACUAACAGCAAAUUUAGAAAACUCCCUGGUAACGACGCCAAAAACUUAACACGACUCAAAAGUGUAUUACUCCCAAGUAUAAGAGUGUCUAGUUAUAAUAUAACCCGGUGAGUUCGGGGUUGAACCACAGAAAAUUUUAAAAUCUAGUUGUCAAUUUGUUAAACAAAGAAAAUUAAUUGUGGGGAAAAUAAAUUAUUUGAAAACAAUUUAAAAAUACGGUAAGGUUACGGGAUCCACUCUUAGUAUUUAAACUAUAAUUUUCAUACUCUCUCAUUUAUAUUUUGCCUCACUUUUACCAGUUAAUUAUUAUAUCAUUUAAUUCUAUGUGUGUGGAUAAAUAUGGAAUAAAGUACCUAAUGUGCCACACUAUGUGUCGACAUUAUGUCAAUGUGUCGACAUUAUGUCAAAAUACCAUGCAGAUCCAAAGAAAUUUACAAAUUAACAUGACAUAAAAAUAGUUAGAAAAGAAUAAAAUAAACUUAAAAACUCAUUUGAGAAAAUAAUAAUAAUUAAUAGUUUGAAACAUUGAGCUUCAUCCUUCACCUCAACUUAGUAAAAUUAGCCACACAUAUUGAAAGAAAACACAAAACUCUUUUUAUUUGAUAAACUUUUUGAAAUAUAUUACAAAGAAAAUUAAUUCGGAUGGAAACAAGAAAAGAAAAGAAAGAAAGAAAGAAAGAAAGAAAGAAAGAAAUUCUUCAACUACACCCUUAGCUAUCACUCUCUCUCAGAACUCGGCUCCCUCCUCUACUGGCUUCUCCCUGCAUUUGCUUGCCCUUUUAUAGGCAAGGAAUGCAUUAUUAUUAUUAUUAUUAUUACUAUUAUUAUUAUUAUUAUUAUUAUUAUUAUUAUUAUAUAUAUAUAUAUAUAUGUACAUUGAAAUGUGUAAUGGUCAAGUGGGCAUGAUGGCCACUUGACCAUCACGAGAAACCAAAUUGCUUGGUUUUUUUUAUUCAUUUUUAUUUUAUUUAUUUAUUUACAUCUCCUCAAUAAUACUUCCAAAUUGCUCCAGCAGUCCUUUGUUCCUACUUUCAAUUCCAAUUUAUUCCUGAAAAGUAUUUAUAAGAUAAAAAUUAACAUAUUGCAAAUUAAUUUAACACAAAAAUUAUUUGGGGAGCAUUCAUAUAAUUUAUAAGUUAUGCGUGCAUUAAUCAACACUUUAAGUGAAAAACUAAAAAUUUUAUCCUUAUUACACGUACACUUUUUAGUGUUAAUCAAAUAAGCUAAUUUAAUAAAGGAGUAUCCAUAAUAAUAAUAAUGGGAGGUCGUCAAUUUUCCUCUAUUCAAAUCAAUAUUUACUAAUUACUUUAGUAUUAUUUUAAUAAUAGUCAAUAAUUUUUAAUUAUGUAAUUUUAUAAUAUUAUUCUUAUUUUUACAUAAAAUUUUAUUCGUAUUUAUUAUAAAUUAAAUGAAUUAUAUAAAUACGAAUUAAAAUAAAAAAUUUAAGUACUAAAAAUAAAAAAUAAAUAUGUUUCAAUUUAAAUAAAAAAUUAAUUAUCAAAUAUUUUCUUGUACUUUUUGUUAUUUUAAAAUAUUUUUCUUAUAAUGAAUGCACAUAUUAUAGCCCCAAGAUAAGUUAUUAAGAAAAUAACUCAUUUACCCCUCUUUUGUUUUAAAUUUUUUUGGUGACGAGAGAGUUUCUAGAUAUUAUAAAAUUAAUAAGAAAUAAAUGAUAUAUAUUAGUUCCAAUAGAAAAAAAUUAUCAACCUCCUUAAUAAUAAAAGUGACAAAAUAAUGAAAGGAAAAAGAGAUAAAUUGCAUGUUCAUUCUUCUUUUAGAUUCUUUUCUUCUUAACUUUCUAUUUAAACUCUCUUACAUACUUUACUUCUCAACUUUCUCAUAUUUUUUACUUCUCAACUUUCUGUUUAAACUCUUUUAAAUUCUUUUCUUCAAACUCUUUUAGAUUCUUUACUUUUCAACUUUCUAUUGAAACUCAACUUUAUAUUUAAACUCUCUUACAUUCUUUACUUCUCAACUUUUUAUUUAAACUCUCUUACAUCCUGUACUUCUCAACUUUCUAUUACAUUCAUUAUUCAAUUUAUAAUUUUCAUACCUUAAAUGGUAAAAUUUAAUUCAAGUCUCUUCCCCUUUCUCAUCUUUGCAUACGCAACACAAUCUUUUUAGCUCUCCUCUCUUCGCAAGUAAGUAAAAUCUUAGUUCAUCGCAUCAUCUCACGGUUUGUUUUCAUACUUUGCUUUCUCCAAAUUGCCCUUGCCUUUUCCUCUCAAUCUUAAUUUCUUUUUUUUUUUAAUUUUAGACUCGAUUUUCUUUACCUCAGUUUGUAAAUUUUAUCGGAUGUAAUGCAUAAUCAUGGGUGACCCAAUUAAGGCCCAGGAGGGGCUUCAACCCCUUUUGAGCCAUUAAUUUUUCUUUUAAAUAUACCCCCACACCCCUUCUAAAAGAAUGAAAUAAAAAAAUUUGGACACAUUUUUUAUGUAAUAAAAGACUUACAGUUCAAUGAUAAAAGUGUUAUUUGAUGGUUUUAAAGUCCUAGUUUAAAUCACAAUAGCCACAUUAUUGUUUUUUAAAUAUUUUGGGAAAACUACUUAGAAAAAUGAUACUUUCAUGCAUUUAAAAUAAAGAGUUUAUUACCAUUAUUAUUUAAAAUUUAAAAGAAAGUAAUGAAAUUUGAGUUUAUGAGAUUUAAAAUGUAUUCAUGUGAGCAUUUGAAAAAAAAACGCCAAAUUAAAUAAAAUGUUUUGAACUAAGCCUCCUAAUUUAAGUAUCUCGGUCCGCCACUAUGCAUAAUCGAUUGUCGUCGUUUUUUUUUUCACUAAUUUCGUAAAACAAGCAGAAUUAAAUUAAAUUAUACAUUAGCAUCAUUAAUUAAUUAACUGAUGUUGUUUAGAUUCUGUGCUUGAAUAUAUAUCAAUUCAUCAUAUUUUUAUUAAGAUUAUAAAUUUACACUAUGUCGUCGGGUCUGAAUGAUUUUUAUUUUUAAUAUUUUUUAAUGAAUUUAUUCAUGUUCGGUUGGAUAAUAUUUAAAGUAAUAACAAAUAUAAGUUUUAAUGGAGUGAAAUUGUAAGGGUAUGGUAACUAAAUUUUCUUUCUUAUUGUUUAACGAUAAAAAGUGAAUUCAAUGUGAAGUGGUUUGAUAUUGUAAAUGCAUUGCAGGUAAAUUGAAAUUUUUUUUAGGAUGGGAGAAAGAGUGAUUGAUGGCGAUUGGAAGCCUACUUCUCCAUCUAAUGGGGAGCGCACUGUGGUUUUACUUGGCCGUACUGGCAAUGGCAAAAGUGCGACGGGCAAUAGUAUUCUCGGAAGAAAAGCCUUCAAGGCGAGUGCUGGCUCGUCUGGUGUUACUAAAACUUGUGAAAUGAAGACAACCGUGCUCAAAGAUGGCCAAGUUGUUAAUGUCAUUGAUACCCCCGGUAAUUUACUAAUGUUGAUGCCUAGAUAUUCCAUUCCAUGCUUGUUGAUGUUGUGGUGGCAAGUAGAUUGAUGUUAGGAGCCAUUGCAGGACCUUUUGAUUCUUCCGCUGGCUCUGAGUUUGUCGGCAAGGAAAUUGUCAAGUGCAUUGGUUUGGCCAAGGGUGGGAUCCAUGCAGUCCUUGUAGUUUUCUCUGUUCGAAGCCGUUUUACUGAAGAGGAAGAAGCUGCAGUACACCGUUUGCCGACCUUGUUCGGGAAAUUUUUUUUUGACUAUAUGGUUGUUGUUUUCACUGGAGGGGAUUAUCUUGAAGAUAAUGAGAAAACAUUAGAAGAUUAUUUGGGUCAUGAGUGUCCAAACCCUUUAAAGGUUUGUUUCUGAACUGCAACAGUGUUCGAUAAUUUCAUUAGUCAUUUGAUCAAGUUGUCUUUGGUUGGUUCUUUUGUGACGUUUUAGACUCCUUUACGGUUGGACUAUUGGAAUUUUAAUAUGAAUAUAUGCAUGCUGAAAAUACUAGUUAGAAGAUUAUAGUACGCCAGCCGUCUUAAAGUUCCAUUUUCGAUGGUGCUCCAUUUCUUGAAUGGUUUUCUUCUGCCAUGCGGGAUUAGCUGGAGAGGUGUGUGGUUGGUAAUUUUCUGCUGGCGUUACUUAAUUUUAGUUUUAUGUUAAUGUCUUCGAAUGAGAUGUCAUUCAUUCGUUCGCUAAACAUUUAUGCUUUUUUUAUUUGUAUUCUUUGAUUUCCUCUGCUAUUUAAUCUUGGUUCUUAUUCUAUUAACGUGUGUUCAUUUGUUUGUUUCUUAAAAUAUGUACCCCUUUGAUUUAUACGCUCAAAAUUAACCUACUUUUAAGAUUUUAAAAGUGGGCCAAAGAGGAUGUGAUUUGCUAUACAGGUCCAUUUUAUUCGGCGUUUUUUGAAUAAAGUAUCAAAACUAACUUUACAAGAUUUAAAAUUCUCUUAAAAAUUCCUGUGGAUUCUAGCCUCAAAAUUGUUGUCUAAAAUUUCAAUGUGAGAUAUUUUUUCCGUUUCAACAUGCAAAUCUCUUAUUUUCAGAAUGUACUUGAUGAAUUUGGUUCCUGAUAAGAAGUAGCCACAGUCACUAGAGCCACGCAAGUCCAGCAGAGGGCAUAAGCCAAAUCCCAAGUACGUGACGUGAAGACUUUCGGUUUAGCCUUGCAUGGUUCAUGCAUGCAUGGGUUCACGUGAGAAUAAUGCACCAAAGUUGUUAGAGCAAGAAUCAAGGGAUUUGAUAGCUUCAACAAUCGUGCAGGAAUAGAGGAUAAGAUCGAAUCCUUAGUAGUUGUUGCUUAGCUUUGUGUUUCGUAAAAGUAGCAAAGGUGUUAUUUCAGUUUACGUAUUUGGAUUACAGCCGUGAUUGUAGGCUAAGUUGGUUAUGUUAGAAUUAUAAAUAAAGGCUCCAGCAUAAUAAAAAGGAGGCAGUCAACUAAAUCGAUUUAUCUUGGUCUUUGUUUUCUCACCAUAAGUAGAAAACUCCUGUGAUUGAUUAGCUAACUUUGAUUGGGACCUAACACUAAAAUAAAGACCCCUUCAAGUUGUAGCUUUGCAAUUAACAAAAUCGGGUUAUUUUAAGGGAACUUUGUUUUACUUAUUGUACCAAUUUUUGUAGUUUGAAGGAAUAAAAAUAUUUUAGUUAUAAUGUUGCAAAAUUAGGUCAAUUAUAUAGAUGCCGCAGUUUUGAGCUUUGAUCACUUGAGUUUGUUUAUGACAAUAGUACAGUCUUUCAUGCUUUGUUAUAUAAUGUAAGAAUUUGCCGAGUGAAGAGGCAGCUACUUCUUUGUAGCCACUAAUUUUGAUUGAGUCAAUGCUUUUCACUGGAAUAUAUAAAGAUUAUUAUUAUUAUUAUUAUUAUUAUUAUAUGGAAUGCUGAUCACCUUUUAAGAUCGUUAAAUUUGAUGGACGUAAGAGGUUAUGUAAGUGGUCAAACCAUAAGGAGAAUGGAAUUGAUUAUUAAAUAGUUUUUGAGUAGGCAUAAUAUUAAGUGCUAACGAUCACGAUAAAAACAAAUUUUGUCAGCUUAAGAUCCUCAAACUUUUAGAGACUACAAGUGUUUGAUUGGUUCAUCAAUGCUUACGAAAGGAGCUAAAAUUUGCUUUAUUCCUGAUCAUUUUCCCAUUAUUUUAGGAAAUCCUUCAACUAUGUGAUAAUAGGUGCGUGCUUUUUGAUAACAAGACCAAGGAUGAGGCCAAGAGAACUGAGCAGGCUGGGAAGCUUCUUUCUCUGGUUAACUCUGUGAUCGUGGAGACUGGUGGGCAGCCAUAUACGGACGAGUUCCUUGCUGAGUUGAAGGUGACUUUGUUACUAUCGCGAUAGACUUCUGUCCUGUUUCUUUCUGAAUAUGUCAUGACAAUAUCUCUUUUUCUUUUUUUCUACUCAGAGAGGGGCUACUGAACUCUGUGAUCAACAAGCUGAGGUUGACUCUCUCAAGGAAUAUUCAAAACAAGAAAUUUCAAAGCUGAUGGGCCAGAUGCAGGAAUCAUACGAAGAUCAAAUCAAACGAAUUACUGAGAUGGUAUUUUUCACGCUCCUUGUUUUGGCAUCAAAAUAUGACAUGCAUAUGCGUUCGUUUCUCAUAUCCGGUAAUCAUUUCUAAAACUGUGUAAUUAAAAAAUGCCUAUAAAGUGUGCAGGUACCUAUAAUGAUAUUCUAAAUUGUGAGACUUGGAGGUGAUAAAGACUGCCGCUCUGUCCUUACCCCUAGAUUGUUGGAGGUUGCCAUCUGAAAAGACGCUUUAUCUUGCUAGUUGAUGCGGACAAGUCUGUUAUUAUCUAUUCACUAAUUGUGUUUUGAAGGCUGUAACAUGUUGUUCUUAACUUGAAGAUUGUUUGACCGUCCUGCUCUGUUUUGUUUGUUGAUGAAAUUAAGUGGGUUAUUCUAUGAUAGUAGCUAUAGGUGGUUUACUUAUCAUGACUUGCACUUAGGAAUGGAUUCUGCACUUGUUUAGUCAUCAAUCAUAAGAACAUUUCUUGUAAUACUGUGGAUACUGUUUUCUCGCCUGAAUCUGUGCGAACAAUUGAGAUUAUGACAUAUUUUAAUUUUGUUAAAAACAAAAUUGCCACAUUCAAAAUAAGUUUUCAUGAAAAUAUAGUUAGGCACGUGGAACCUAAUCAAAUGGCUGCAUAGUUUUGAUUUUCCUUUCCACAGUUUUAAUUUAUAGCAAGGCAAUACAAUGAUUCGGAAUUAAGCCAGAUCCUAUUCAACAAGAAUCUGAAUUUUCUGUAACAUUCUGUGUAAUGACUAUAUGUCUGAGGUGCUAAUAAGUUUUAGUCUUCACAUUCCUGGAGUAUGGCAAAAUUAAAAAGUUAGUAGAUUCUUUAAUACUUUAUAUUUUGAAUUUAUGUGUUGAUUUUUUUAAGCUUUUAAUUUGUUUCUACCAUUUAUCAAUGAUUGAGAGUCUGGAAUCGAUUGAAGUAAGAAUGUUUCGCCGAGUAUGGUGAACUUAGCAACUCGCUUUGCAAUUGGAUUAAACUAAAUUAAUACUCAAGAAUUUUCUUCUCUUAAGUUGGAGUUUUAUAAUACCAAUACCCAUUUUUUUUUUUUUUUGUAUUGUGCUGCUACUCUAGGGCUUAGUAGCAUGUUUUCUGACUGAUAUUGAUGCUUUUUUGAUAGGUUGAGUCUGAGCUCAAAAAGACAACAACUAGGCUCGAACAGCAAUUGGCAGAGGAGCAAGCAGCUCGGUUAAGGGCAGAAGAGGUUGCACAAUUAGCUCAAAUGAAGUCGAUGAAAUUCAAGCUGGGAGUGCUGAGAAGGAGACUGCGGAGCGCCCUAAGAAACCUUAUAAUGGGGAUUGUGCCAGUUUUUGACCUAGUCACCUGCAGGCACAAUGUGCCAUCGGCGUGAAAAUCACCGAAAGUAUAUUUUCUUAUUGUGCCAUUCUUUGACCUAGUCACCUGCAGGCACAAUGGAAAAACCGUAUUGACAUCAAAUGAAGUUUCUUUUAUGGAGCCGUCUAGAAUCUUUUCUUUCACGGUGGAUUUAAAGAGAUCUGAUUCCUUUUCUCCUCAUUGAGCUCUUAACAAACGCUAUAUUGUUUCCACAUUUGUAGCAGAUACAACCCAAAAUGUGCCCUUCUAAUAAUCAUGACUUUCCCAAAAAUUCAAACGGACUAACAGAGCAAACCUAACAUCCAAGAGACUUGCAAUAAAACCACCAAGCCUAUGACCCUUCUUUGAUUCACACCAUACUUCAACUAGCUCAUGGUCUAGGUUUAUCAAGUACAAUAUUUAUUUAUGCAUAUAUGACACAAUCUAUAUUUACCUUAUACAUAAUGCAAAUCCUUUGACAUCAUACAGCCUCAGUUUUGUAAGUUUUAUAGAUAUAAGUUUCAGUAUAAUAACUGGUCUCCCAAAGAGAAGAUGCCAAUGAUAAGUCAGCGUAAGUAAUUAGGUUACACAUAAACUGGUUGAAGAAAAUGAAGUGUUUGGUUAACAGGAAACUUUCUUAGAAUCAGAGAGAAAAUAUUUCAAGCUGAAUUCAUUUUUAUUAAAACUGAAAAAUAAAAUGAUGAAUUACAAAUCAUUAUAUACUCAAGUCUGGAAGAUUCUAGAGCAACAGAUGCAUGUGAAUCAGCUUAACAACCUAUAACAAAUUAUUGACGGGAAAACAUUAACAAACUCUGAAAACUGAUUUGGCUUAAGUAACUGAAUGCUGACAUGGCUGCUGACUCAUCUGCUGACAUGGACAUCAUGAUUUUAUUCUUAACAUGCCCCCUUAAGCUCAAGGUCUGGGACAGACAUUGGGCUUAGCUCUCAUAUAAGCAAAAUGAUCAAAGCUAAGUGGCUUAGUAAGUACAUCUGCCAAUUGAUUAGAGCUUGAUACAUGUUCAACAGCAAAUUCCUUCUUGGCAAUGUGUUCUCUCACAAAAUGUAAGUCUAGCUCAAUGUGUUUGGUUCGUGAAUGGUAUUUGGGAUUACUGGCCAGAGCUUCUACACUUUUAUUGUCACAGUACACAACAGAUGUGUUGCUGAGCUGCACUUUGAGUUCCUGCAACAGAUAUGAAAUCCACAACACUUCUGAAGAUGUCAAGGCUAAGGCCCUAUACUCUGAUUCAGCUGAUGAUUGAGAAACAACAUUUUGUUUCUUAGAUGACCAGGACACAAGAUUGGACCCAAGAAAAAUGCAGUAGCCUCCAACAGAUCUUCUGUCAUCAGGGUCUGAUCCCCAGUCUGCAUCUGAGAAGGCUGUGAGAGAAAGAGACCUUGAAUUAUAAAAUUAAAUCCCAUAAGCAGCUGUAAACUGAAGAUACCUCAGAACCCUUUUGCAAACCUGCCAGUGAAGCACAGUAGGAGCAGCUAAGAACUGACUUAGCUUAUUUACAGUAAAGGCAAUAUCAGGCCUUGUCAAGGUUACAUACUGAAGAGAUCCAAUAAUACUUCUGUAAAGAGAAGGAUUCUCAAACAGAGUACCCUUAUCUUUGUACAGUUUAUCAGCAACACUCAUUGGAGUAUUACAACCUUUGCUGUCAAGCAUAUGAGCCUUCUUUAAUAUGUCUCCAAUAUACUUUGUUUGUGAGAGAUGUAACCCAGCACUUGAUGGAGUAACCUCUAACCCAAGGAAAUAGUUGAAGUCACCCAAGUCUUUAAGAGCAAACUCAGAACCAAGGAGUGUAAUAAUCUUCUCUAUUUGUGCACUGUUAGAACCAGUUACUAAGAUAUCAUCUACAUAAAUGAGAAUAACUAAAACAUCUGAACCAGUGUGCUUAAGAAAUAGAGAGGUGUUUGAUCGAGAAGUCUGAAAACCCCAUUGCAAUAAGGAACCUUUUAAUCUAUCAUACCAAGCACGAGGUGCUUCUUUAAGACCAUACAAAGCUUUGUUUAGCUUGCAUACAUAAGUUGGAUGUUGAGGAUCAAUAAACCCCCCAGGCUAAUGCAUUAAGACUUCUUCAGUUAGUACACCAUUCAGAAAAGCAUUAUUCACAUCCAGCUGCCUUAUGGUCCAAUGAUUCAUCACAACAAGACUCAGAAUAAUUCUAAUAGUACAAGGCUUUACAACAGGGCUGAAAGUCUCAAAGAAAUCCACACCAUAGGUUUGAUGAAAACCUUUUACAACCAAUCGUGCCUUAUACUUGGAGAUGCUUCCAUCUGGGUUAUACUUAACUCUAAACACCCAUUUAUUUCCAACAAUUUUGGUGGCUAAGUCAGCUAGCACAAGAGUCUAGGUUUCAUUAUUUUGCAAGGCAUGAAACUUUUUUGUCAUGGCCAUAUACCAUUUUUUAUCAGCUAAGGCUACUUUGACACUAGUUGGUUCAAUACCUUGAGUGGGUAAGGUAGGUUUUAGGUUUGAAAAUUCCUGCUCUGGCUCUUGUAAUCAUUGGAUGAGAAGGAACUGUUGAUAAGGAUGGUUGAGGAGAGACUACUGAUGAAUAUUGGAUAAGUGUAUGAGAGUGAUCAUUUAAGGAGACAGGUGAAGAGUGAGUGUUUAUCUCUGGCAAGGAAUUAGAGUUUGGAGAUGGUGGCACUGCUGAACUGAUGAUGAUGUUGGAGACUGCUGUAUUGAGCUAUUGUCAUGAAGAAUACAGAAUGAAGGAGAAGGAAUUUGGACUGACUCUGAUAAAGAAUUUGAAAGGGAAAACAACUUAGAAUAAGGAAAUUCAUGUUCAUUAAAUGUAACAUGAAUAGCAAUGAAUACUCUCCCAGUUUUCUCCAGACAUUUGUAACCCUUGUCAAGAGGACUAUAACCUAUAAACAAACAUUGUUGAGAAUGAAAAUCAAGUUUGUGUUGCUUGUAUGGGCUAAGUAAAGGAUAGCAAGCACAUCCAAACACUCUAAGGAAAUCAUAUUUUGGUAGCUGCUGAAACAACUUUUGAUAAGGUGAUUGGUUGUUCAAGACUGUGGUUGGCAUUCGGUUAAUGAGAUAAGAGGCUGUGUGAAAGGCUUCCCACCAGAAAGUGACAGGCAUUUGGGCUUGAGCAAGAAGGGUUAACCCCGUUUCAACAAUGUGCCUAUGUUUCCUCUCAACUACACCAUUUUGAUGAUGUGUGUCAGGGCAUCUGUGCCUAAGUUGGAUGCCUUCUUGGUGAAGAAAAGAAGUAAAAACUUUAAACUCUCCCCCCAUGUCAGAUUGUAAUGCUUUGAUAGGUAGAUUAAACUGUUUUUCUACUAGCGCUUUGAAGUUUUUGAAAGUACCUAAGGCAUCUGAUUUUAGCACAAAAGGAAAGAUCCAACAGUAACUAGUGUAGUCAUUAACAAAAGAGAUGUAAUACUUAUAGCCUUCCAUAGAAAGUACAGAGGCUAGCCCCCAAAGGUCUGUAUGGAUUAACUCAAGAGGAUGUUUUGAUUUAAUUUCAGUUGUUGAGAAAUGAAACGGAUGUAAUUUACCAAGUUGACAAGCAUUACAGAAUUCAAGUUUUUGCUUAUUAUCACACGAAAUGUUUAUACAACUGUUUCUCAAGAGAGUUUGAACAACAUGCUUGCUUGGAUGACCAAGUCUAUUAUGUAAAAGACUAACUGAAACAUUGCUUGAAGCAUGAAAGCUUACUGGAAAACUAGACUUUAUUUUCACAGACAAAGGAUCAACACAAGUUUGAUGAGAAGAAAAGACUGACACCAUGGAACUUGGUUGUAUGACUUCUGUAUCAAAAGAAAGAAAUGACUCCUCAUAUGACAGCAACUUAUACAGCCCUCCUUCAACAAUCCCCUGAGCCAGCAGUGUUCCCUUCACCUUGUCCUUUAGAAAACAACCAUCAGAUGUAAAUUCAAUUGUACUAUUACUGUCAACAAGAAGCUUGGAAACACUUAUAAGGUUUUUGGUAAUUUUUGGAACACAUAGGGCAUUAUAAAGAUGAAUACAUGAACCAACAGAGGUAUGUAAACAUGCAUUACCAACAUGUGUGAUUUGAAGACCUUGCCCAUUGCCUACAAGUAAAGAAUUGGUGCCAGAAUAAAGCUUACCAUCAGUUAAGUUCUGAGCUGAGUUGGUAAGAUGGUGAGUAGCCCCACUGUCAAGGUGCCAGCCUUGAUCAACAACUCCCUCAGAUGUAGCCAUAUAAGCUGAUUUUGGUCCCUGAUUUGGAUGAUAGCCCUGAACUGGAAAGCUUGGAGCAAAGUUUCUGUUAAACCCAUCUCUACAAUCAGCAGUAGUAUGGUUAUACCUGAAGCAAAUUUGACACAUAACUCCUCCUUGAGCAAAGUUCUUUCUAUUACCCCCAAAACCACCUCUGCCAAAGCCACCAACAUUAGUGUUUCCAUUAUUGAAGUUACCAGCAAAGCCUCCACUAUUAAAAUUUCCACCAUUAUUAAAACCACCAGCAAAGCCUCUACCAGUAUUAAAAUUUCCAUUCCAGUUACCUCUUCCUUAACCUUGAUAUCCUCCACCUCUACCAGUAGAGUUUUGAUUCCAGUUUCCACCUCCAUUUUUAUUCCAAUUAUUCUGAUUAUUGCCAUUACCUUUCUUUUGAAAGUUUCCAAUUUGAGCUACAUUAGCCAUAUAGUUGCUUUUAGCUUCUUUAUUAUCAGCAAUCUUACUAUUUUCAAGCCUAGCCUCAUGUGUUAGUAACAUGGCAUAAGCUUCACUCAGAUCCAUGGUCAACAUAUUUGCUUCAAUGUAAACAACUACAAGAUAGUAAGAAUGAUCUAAUCCAGUGAUAAGAUGAGUGAUUAUAUCAAUGUUACUAAGUGGACUUCCAGACAAAGCAAGACCAUCAGAUAUUGUUCUAAGUUUUGUGAAAUACUCAGUCAUAGACAAGGAUCCUUUUCUUAGGUUACUAAGAAGCAUUUUAAGAUGAACCUUUUUAGCCAUUGAUUCAGAUCCAAAUUAUUUUUCCAGAUUCUUCCAUAGCUCAAGAGUAGUUUGUGAGCUUACCACGAGACUUAGAAUUUCAAGACUCAUUGAGGACAUGAUCCAGCUAAGCAGAAGCUGAUCUUGUCGUUUCCAUGCAAUAAAAUCUGGAUUCUCACGAUCUUCUCCACAUGCUUCACCAGAUCCAGAUCUAUCAAGAAGAAAUCGUUCUGGACAGGGUUUUGAUUCAUCGAUAUAGCUCUCAAGACCAUUUCGACGAAUUGAAGAGAGUAUUUGUUGUUUCCAGAUUGUGUAAUUUGUGCGAUCAAGUUUGAUUGGUGUGGUAAAGGUAAAGGAUGUUCCAGAUGAGACAUGAAUUGAAUGAUGAAAGCUUGAAGAAGCCAUCACUUGGCUCUAAUACCAAGUUGAAGAAAAUGAAGUGUUUGGUUAACAGGAAACUUUCUUAGAAACAGAGAGAAAAUAUUUCAAGCUGAAUUCAUUAUUAUUAAAACUGAAAAAUAAAAUGAUGAAUUACAAAUCGUUAUAUACUCAAGUCUGGAAGAUUCUACAACAACAGAUGCAUGUGAAUCAGCUUAACAACCUAUAACAAAUUAUUGGCGGGAAAACAUUAACAAACUCUGAAAACUGAUUUGGCUGAAGUAACUGAAUGCUGACAUGGACAUCAGGAUUUUAUUCUUAACAAAACUCAUCUAGUUUCAUAUAUUGCUGAUUCAAAAAUAGGUAUCAAGUAGUACACACAUUCAGUAGAUAAUGAUAGUCUGAUCAUAGAUCUCGUACGGAGAUGCCACAAGCUUGAUCUCCAGCAUCUAGCAUACCAGCAAACGGGAGAAAACAUUGAUGCACGCGCAACACGAGCUCAUAAAAAUGAAAUGUGAUGGGAGAAUUAAUUACCCGAGAUGGAGUAUCUUCUUGUCCGGGUGAGAGUAAGCAGAGCCACCGCCCUCGAUAAUAGCAGGACCGAAGAAAUUCCGAGAAGCUAAUGCAUGGAUUGCAUUCAGCUCUUGCCCAGUCGCCAUGUUUGCUUGCUGAAACCUUUCCAUUUAUGCUAUCUGAGUUUCAGAAACAACGAAAUUUUAAUAACGUGCUGAAAUUUUGGAAGAGGGCGAGAACAAAUGCAUUCUACAUACAAAGGACUUAUUUGAAUACCUUUGAUCGGAGACACACGUUUUCAUUUUCCAGCUCAAUCUCUUAUGAAAAUGAACAUGUUAAAGAGUUCCAUAAAAGCAUGGAAGAAAACGAAAAAAAGGCUAAACAAGAUUUAAUGAACAUGAAUUAUUACCCUUUUCUGCAAGAACUCAAUUUCAGCUAGCAGCAUUUCAUGUUGCACAAAACAGGAAACAGACAAAGCAACAAAUUAUUUUCAAAAUGACACAAAUUACAUAUACUGAACGUAUAUCGAUAAAGUUUAUGCAAUGUUUUGUUGCAAAACAAUGGUGUAUCGCUCAAGUUCAAUUAUUUUUUGUAUGCAUAAUGAAAUUAAUUAAUUACCUUCUUGGACCUGAUCCUCGUGAUGCCUCACUCAUGCCUGUUCUCCAGUUGCUUAAGCUCCUUUACAGUUAAAGAACUCAGAGAAUCACGCAUCAAAUGCCUAUAUGAAGAGUCAAGAGUGAGAUAACCAAUUGAAAAUUCAAUUGAAAUUGUAUAUUUUGGCAUAAUUAAUUAACUAUGCUUAAUAUGAAAAUGAUUGUUGAUGAAAUAAUUGAAAAUACUUGUUAGAAUUCUGUAACAUUUGAAUUUGCUGCCGUAGCUUCACUGAUUCCUGCUGAUAGUACCGUUUUCAUGGGUCACAUAUAAUGGGAAAAGUUAAUUUUUUGUUAGGAAUUUCAAUGCUAGCUAUGUGGUAACAAAUGGUAAUUAGUUGGUUUUUUCUUUUUUUUCACCUUUUCAUAAUAAUAUAUGUUCCUAGCAAAGCCUGAAUUUAUAGUUUAAAUUAAUGAAUUACUUACCUGAGCAUUGAUCUCAGUAACAGUGCCAGAAUUUAUUAAUUCUGUAGCUUAAAUUGCAUACAUUUAUGCACACACACACUAAGAACAGCAGGUUAUAUUCAUCAAAUUCAUCUCAAAAUAACUAACUAAACAGAUAGCUCAGCUUCUUUUCUUUCCAACUGAAUUUCUGCAUUUGGUAGAUUCUCAGCAAGUUUAGCAAUAACCUUCAGGAACUCCAAAUAAUCUGGGUCUUUAUUAUCCACAUCAAAACCAAAUAUGACUUAUUACUGCAGUACUUCUAAAAACAAUAAGAAGAUAAAGAAAACUAAGGUAUUCUUGCAUUGUUGUGCUUUUACUUAUCUUUGAAAUUUAGCAGCUUAAGUGUACAGUAAAAACCACAGUACUUCAACCCCAAAAGUACUCUAAGUUUUUUUUUUUUAAAUAAAAAGAAUUACUAUAACAUAUGCACUUUAAUUUUUCUAAUUAAGUGUAGUAUUUAAUUUUCUCCUUCGAUAUUAAUUUUAAAUUUGUCAUCACAUAAAUUUGAGACAAUUCAAACACGAUUCAAUGGCCGUGUAGUUGGAUUUUAUUUCAACACGGGUCCGGCAUUAGCUUAAUUAAUAGUAAUCUUUAAAAAAAAUUAAUUUCUAUAAAAGGAAAGGAGGGAACUAAUUUCCAAAAGAGGAAAGAGAGAGGGGCACGCGAGAUAGAAGGAGAGAGAGAGAAAUUGACCUGUUUAGCCCAACCCGACCCACGAGACCGACCCGGAUCCAACUCUCGUUUCCAGCCACCGUUCCGGUCAAGCUUGGUACUGAUCUGAAGCUUGAGUGACGCCGGUCAUAUCCCCGCUGUCAUCGUCACUUGAAAACAGCCAGAACGCCGGUGAUCGAAACUUGAAAGACCGCGGCUCAACCCAUUUUCGUCGCCGUCAAUCUCGCCAGAAUUAGGUUGCACCAUCGGCUGCGUUCGAUUCUUCAAAUCACCAGCUUUUAUUUCCGACCAACCUCGCCGCCCGAAGCUUCCGUUUUGGCCAUGAACGACCGCUAGAAAGCUCACAGCUUUGGGAGCACGAUCCGCCGCCAUUGCCCCGCGUGGAAGGUCACCGCCGGUACCAUUGGACUCAUCGAGAUCAGAACUAUCAGACUUGAGCUUCCCGUCACCGUUGGCUGAAUUCCGGUCACCGUUGACCGGUGGGGGCAUUUCGGUAAUUUCAGAAGACUUUAGGGUGAAUUUGUAAUUUAUGGAAUCGGUGGAUAAUUUAGUAAUUUUAGAUUUAGGCAGUGAGGCAAUUUGAGACUUCAAGGGUAAUUCGAUAAUUUAAAUUAUUAACGGCAUUUUGGUAAUUAAUUUCGCACUUUGAGGGUAAUUUCAUAAAUUCAAAACUUGUGAUUAAUUUUGUUAUCCAAAUUGAGGACAAUUUGGUAAUUUAAGAUGUUAAGGAUGAUUUGAUAAAUUAUGAUUUCGAUGGUAAUUCGGUAAAUUUCGGUGUCAGGGACAUUUUGAUAAUUUUUUGACAUAAGGGUAAUUUUGAAAUUUUAUGUAUCCAAGAGUUUGGUUUUGAGCUUUCUUUCGUACUGUUAGUCGUACUUCGUGAUACAAAUAAUAAUUAUAUCGUUUAUUUAAUUAGGAGGACCCGGGAGCGAGAAUCAAUCCGCAGACGUUUAUGGUACCGAGUCUGGAUAUCGUCAUUGUGAGUGGAAUAUACAAAACUUAUUUUCAUAGUAUAUUCUAAUUUUACCAUACAGUACAACAUAUUUUGAUAAUAAAUAUUUGAUGCUUCGAUUUAAUGAUUUUCUAGAAAAUUAAAUUUUAUUCUACGUGCUGAUAUUUAUUAUUAUUGAAAAUGAGUUUGAUUAAUGAUUUUAUUAUCAUUUUUUGAGAAAAUGCAUGAUAUUAGAAUUGAGUGGAUUUGAGAUAUAUUGAAUAAAAAGGAAAUGAGAGUUCAAAUGUGAUUAUAUGUUUAUGUACAUGUGUAUAAAAGGUUAUUUGGAAAAUUAUUGGACCGAACCCUCCCCCUUCAGAUACAGAGAUAUAUAUAAUAUGAGAUGAAUACAGUGAUAUAGAUGAUAUGAGAUGAGAGGCUUUUGGGGCCCGUCUGAACAUAUAUAGAGGCUUUGGGUCGUGUGUUUGGACCCUUUUGCCUUUUGGGGGCUUAUGCAUGCAGUAUGAUGAUUAUAGAGAUACAUAUGUUGAGAUAUAUGAGAUAUGAGAUGACAUUUUCCUGUCUAUCUGUUGAGCUUCAGGGCAUGAUGGUUCCUUGAUUGCCCGUCCAUCGAGGUCCGGAUAUGAUGAGAUUAUUCCCUUGGGUACUUGUUUGAUGAUAGUUUUUGGUAUUAAGUAUUUGAUAUUAUAAGUUUUAUGAUUUCAUUGAUUUUAUGCAGAUUUAUGUAAUAUUGUUAUUUCAGUGCAUGAUUUGAAUUAAAUAAGUUUAUGUAAGUUCUUAUGAUAUUUUGAUGAAAUUAAUUUGGAAAAGAUUAAAUCAUUUUAAAUAAAUUUAUUUUUCCAAAAAUUAUUAUCCAUUCACUAAGCUUACUGAGUUUUAUACUCACUCCAUUUUUAUUAUAUUCCCCUUCUCCCCACAGGAGAUUUGCAGGUACAUCAGUGACCCAACAACGAUAGUUAGAUUGAAAUUAUGGCCACGUGAUGGUGUUAGGAAUCAUAGAUGUUUUGUUGGGACAUUUUGAAUUGGAUAAUUUAUUACUUAUUUGUGAUUAAGGAUAAACUAUUGUAUUCUUAACAUUAUAUGUUUGAAGGAUACUAGUAUUUAAAUUGAGGAAGUAGGUUGUGGAGGUUGAUUAAAUAUUGUAUUAUUUUUUGGGAGUGUUAACUUAGAAAUUGCAGAUUUGGGGAUGUCAUAAUUAUAUAGGAGACUCUGUCGCAUUUUUGGUAGAAUUCUUAGAUAUCAGAAUUAUUAUUAAUUUAAUCAAUCAAGAUUAGAUAGACUCAUCAUGGAGAUUCGAGGCGGAUCGUUUCAAUUACCGUUAAAAAUGGUGCCUUAACGGCUAUCCUUUCUAGAACAAGGCUUGGGAACACGUUGAGAUAGAGCAUAUUCAAUAAUAGCCUUAAACUGAGCCCCUAAUCGAGAACCCAAUAACACAUAGAAUUAACCAAACAGAAAGUGCCCUUUUCAUUUGAAACAACAUAAACACAUUCAUACCAAAUUAAGAUUGAUAAGUAAAAGCAAAAGGGUUAGCAAAAUUACCCUUUUCAUUAACAAACACAUGUCCAUUCAACAACUCAGCAAACUCAAACACAUCCUAAAUUUCCGGGCGAACGCGGAACCAAUUGUAACUGUCGUUGAAGUGAUCGUGGAAAAGGGCUAAAAGGUCAUUUUGAGAGAGGUAAAGAGGCAAAUGACAAAUCACUACUUUGGUUCUCUGCAAUGGCUCCGUCAUUUCAUUGCAUUCAAUUUGUUCUGAUUGUAUUGAAUUCGAAAAAUUGAAAAAGAGUUUUGAUUACUUUGUACCCUAAUUUUCAAUUUGGGUUGAGAAUGAAAUUGGAAUAUUGUUUAUUGGAAAGUUUUAGACACACUAACAAGAUUCAUUUUUCGUUGCCCGGGGCAAACGGCAAUUGACAUUCCUCAUUUCCCUUAGUAUUUACUUAUGAGGAGUUUAGGUCAUCUCCAAUGUGACACCAAAACUAACAACAAAUCACAUUUUACAUCAUUUUUGGUGUACAAUGCUUCUCCAAUGUAACACCGAAACCAACACUAAAAUGAUGUUUGAAUAGUAUUGCACCAAAUAUGGUGCAACACUAUUCAUUUGGUGUUAGGGAAAAAAAGUUUCAAAUAUCCUAAUUAUUAUUUUUAUUUACAUAUAUGUCCUAUUUUAUAUAAUAUUUUAAGUUAUUAUUAUUAUUUUUGUUAUUAUUUUUAUUUUAUUUUUAAUUUUUGAAUAUUAUACUAAUAUUUUAAAUAAAAAAUAUUCAACACAAAAAUUAAUAAUAAAAAUAAAAUUCCAAUAACAUUAAUUACUAGAUUACAUAUUACAAAGUUAAAAAUACAAAAUUAAAUUAACAUAAAUUAAAAAAGCUACUACUACUAGCAUAAAUUAGAACAAUUAUUUAAUAAUGUGGGAGGUCAUUAUUAGAUCUUCCAAUAUCAUCAAAAUAUUAGCCAAUAUUAUUGGAAGUAUUUUGAGAUGCUUGGCCUUGCGGAGACCUUCUCUGCAAAAUCUUAAUUUGUUCAUUUUGAAAAUAUUGACGUAAGCUCGAAUCACUUAUCGAAUUUAAAUCUUGAAGUAAAAUUUUGUUUUCUUCAUGAUAUGUGACUAUCUCCAAUUUUUUUUUCUCAUUUUGGGCUCGUAUAAUUUGAAUUUGAUAAUUUUGUUGCCUGUCUUCACUGCCUUUUUUGAGAAUUUCAUAAAGUCAUCGAUGGUCUUUUUUAAUAGUAUCAAUAACUAGUGAAUUUUGAUCUUCAACUUUCCUUUUUCCUUUUGCCUUCAGAAUAUCUCGAAGUUUAUUUAGUCGUAUUACUAAUUCCGUGCAAGGUCAUGACAACUAUUUUAUGUAGCGAAGGGAUGGCGUUGGCAGACUUGGGUUAUCUGGUCUUCAAAAAAUCACUGCCGUAUUUAGGAUGUUGGCAUAUGACAUGCUAGCAAAUGCCAUUGAUGAGUAUAUUAAAAUUGGAGAGUCUACAACAAUUGAAAGUUUGAAGAGGUUCUGUCGUGCAAUUGUGGAAGUUUUUGUAGAGCAAUAUCUUAGAUCACCCAACGCUAAUGAGGUCGCCAGGCUACUCCAUGUUGGUAAAGAACGUGGUUUUCCAGGAAUGUUAGGCAGCCUAAAUUGCAUGCACUCGAAGUGGAAAAAUUGUCCAACAGCUUGGGCCGGACAAUAUGCUAGUCGUGGUGGAACCCCAACCAUUAUUUUGGAGGCUGUAGCUGAUUAUGAUCUUUGGAUAUAGCAUGCACAUUUUUGUUUGCCUGGUUCAAAUAAUGAUAUUAAUGUGUUGGAGGCAUCCUAUCUUUUUGCCAACCUCGCUUCAGGUAUUGCUCUUCCUGUUCAUUAUGUUAUUAAAGGGAACAAAUAUAAUAUGAGUUAUUAUUUAGCUGAUGGUUUCUACCCAAAAUGGUCUACUCUUGUACAAACUAUCCAUGAUCCACGUGGUCAUAAAAAAAAUUAUUUGCCAUGAAACAAGAAGCAUGUCGGAAAGAUGUAGAACGUGCAUUUGAAGUCCUUCAAUCAUGUUUUGCAAUUGUUGCUGGACCAUCACGCUUUUGGAACAAACAUGUGUUACAUGAUAUAAUGAUUGCUUGCAUUAUUAUGCACAAUAUGAUAAUCGAAGAUGAACAUGAUGUUAAUGCAACAAUUAAUGAUUAGAUGCAAGCACCAAUACCAACAGUUGAUAUGAGGGUAAAUGAGAAUAUUAGAUUUCAAGAAUUUAUUGCUCGACACAAAAAAAUCAAGGAUAAAGAGGCUCACAUUGCACUCCGAAAUGCACUAAUUAAUCAUUUAUGAGAUGAAUUUAGUAAUUCGAAUAACUAGAGUAUUAUUAUUGUUAUUGUAUUUUUCGAUAUUAAUGUAAUAUUUAAUUUUCCUAAUGUACUAAUUUAGUUAAUUAAAGGCAAAUUUAAUAAUUUUCUAUAUUUUUUUGUUAAUCGAUAUAAAAUUACUUAUUACUUAAUUAUCUAUAUUAAUAGUAAUAUUUAUUGUGUUAAUUGAAUUAAUUCUUGAGAAUUAAAAGAAGAAAAAGAAGAAUAUUCUUUUUGGUAUAAAAUUUGGUGCAAAUGGGUUGGAGAUGAAAUAGUAAUUUGGUGUGAAAAAAGUACAUUUUUGGUGUUGGUGUUACACCAAAAUGGUGUUAAAGCAUUGGAGAUGCCCUUAGGGGCCUUGAUGUAUAAAAUGACCAAAAAGCCCCUAUGUAGUAUGAAUAUGCUGAUUUAAUAAAGAAAGAUUAUCAAUAAUAUUAAUAAUGGGAAAUUGUUAGCUCUCCUCUAUUCAAAUCAAUAUAUAUUAAUUACUUUAGUAUUGCUUUUAUAAUGCACAAUAAAUUUUUAUUAGUAUAGUUUUAUAGUAUAAUUUUUAUUUUUAAAUAAAUUUUUAUUCAUAAUUAUUAUAAAUCAAAUGAAUUUUUUUAUAUUAUAAAACUAGUAAUAAAUAAGUGAUAUCUAUUAGUUCUAAUAAAAAAAUUAACAACUUCCUUAAUAAUAAAAGUGACGAAAUAAUGAAAGGCAAAAGAGGGAAAUUGCAUGUUCAUUCCUCUUUUAGAUUCUUUUCUUCUCAACUUUCUAUUUAAACUCUUUUAUAUUCUUUACUUCUCAACUUUCUAUUUAAACUCUCUUAUAUUCUUUUCUUUAAACUGUUUUAGAUUCUUUUCUACAUUUCAACUUUCUAUUUAAACUCUCUUAUAUUCUUUUCUUCAAACUCUUUUAGAUUCUUUUCUACAUCUCAACUUUCUAUUGAAACUCUCGUACAUCUUUUAUUUCUUAACUUUCUAUUUAAACUCUCUUACAUCUUUUACUUCUUGACUUUCUAUUACAUUCAUUACUCAAUUUAUAAAUUUCAUACCUUAAAUCCUAAAAUUUAAAUCAAGUCUCUUCCCCUUUCUCAUCUCUUCAUACGCAAUGCAGUCUUUUUAGUUCUCCUCUCUUUGCAAGUAAGUAAAAUCUUAGUUCAUCACAUCAUCUCAUAGUUUGUUUUCAUAGUUUUCUUUCUCCAAAUUGCCCUCGCAUUUUCCUCUCAAUCUCAAUUUCUGGUUUUUUUGUUUGUUGUAGAGUCGAUUUUCUUUACCUCGGUUUGUAAAUUUUAUCGGAUGUAAUGCAUAAUCAUGGGUGACCCAAUUAAGGUCCAGGAGGGGCUUCAGCCCCUUUUGGGCCAUUAAUUUUGCUUUUAAAUCUACCCCACACCUCUUCCAAAAGAAUUAAAUAAAAAAAUUUGGACACAUAUUUUAUGUAACAAAAGACUUAUAGUUCAAUGAUAAGAGUGCUAUUUGAUGGUUUUAAAGUCCUGGUUUAAAUCCCAAUAGUCACAUUAUUUUGUUUCUUUUUAUAAAUAGUUUUUUGAAAAUUACUUAGAAAAAUGAUACUUUCAUGCAUUUAAAAUAAAAAGUUUAUUACUAUUAUUAUUUAAAAUUUAAAAGAAAAUAAUGAAAUUUGAGUUUAUGAGAUUUGAAAUGUAUUCGUGUGAACAUUAAAAAAAACCCCAAAUUAAAUAAAAUGUUUUGAACUAAUCCCCCUAAUUUAAGUAUCUGGGUCCGCCACUAUGCAUAAUUGAUCGUCGUCAUUUUUUUUUCAAUAAUUUCGUGAAACAAGCAUAAUUAAAUUAAAUUAUACAUCAGCAUAAUUAAUUAAUUAAUUAACUGAUGCUCUUUAGAUUCUGUGCUUGAUUAUAUAGCAAUUCAUCAUAUUUUAUUAUGAUUAUAAAUUUAACUAUAUGGUCGGGGUCUGAAUGAUUUUUAUUUUUAAUAUUUUUUUAUGAAUUUAUUCAUGUUCGGUUGGAUAAUAUUUAAAGUAAUAACAAAUAUAAGUUUUAAUGGAGUGAAAUUGUAUGGGUAUGGUAACUAAAUUUUCUUUCUUAUUGUUUAAUGAUAAAAAUUGAAUUCAAUGUGAAAAUGGUUUGAUAUUGUAAAUGCAUUGCAGGUAAAUUGAAUUUUUUUUAAGGAUGGGAGAAAGAGUGGUUGAUGGCGAUUGGAAGCCUACUUCUCCAUCUAAUGGGGAGCGCACUGUAGUUUUACUUGGCCGUACUGGCAAUGGAAAAAGUGCGACGGGCAAUAGUAUUCUCGGAAGAAAAGCCUUCAAGGCGAGUGCUGGCUCGUCUGGUGUUACUAAAACUUGUGAAAUGAAGACAACCGUGCUCAAAGAUGGCCAAGUUGUUAAUGUCAUUGAUACCCCCGGUAAUUUGCUAAUGUUGGUUCCUAGAUAUUCCAUUCCAUGCUUGUUGAUGUUGUGAUGGUAAGUAGAUUGAUGUUACGAGCCAUUGCAGGACUUUUUGAUUUGUCUGCUGGCUCUGAGUUUGUCGGCAAGGAAAUUGUCAAAUGUCUCGGUAUGGCCAAGGAUGGCAUCCAUGCAUUCCUUGUAGUUUUCUCCGUUACAAACCGUUUUUCUCAAGAGGAAGAAACUGCAGUACACCGUUUGCCGAACUUGUUCGGGAAAAAUGUUUUUGACUAUAUGAUUGUUGUUUUCACUGGAGGGGAUGAUCUUGAAGAUCAUGAGAAAACAUUAGAAGAUUUUUUGGGUCAUGAGUGUCCAAAGCCUUUAAAGGUUUGUUUCUGAACUCUUAUAGUGUUCGAUAAUUUCAUCAGUCAUUUUGAUCAAGUUGUCUUUGGCUGGUUCUUUUGUGAAGUUUUAGACUCCUUUACGGUUGGACUAUUGGAAGUUUAAUAUGAAUAUAUGCAUGCUGAAAAUACUAGAUAUAUAGCUUUAUAGUAGGCCAGCCAUCUUAAAGUUCCAUUUUCAAUGGUGCUUCAUUUCCUGAAUGGUUUUCUUCUGCCAUGCGGGAUUGGCCGGAGAGGUGGUUGGUAAUUUUCUGCUGGCGUUACUUAAUUUUACUUAUACGUUAGUGUCUUCGAAUGAGAUAUCAUUCAUUCAUUCGCUAAACAUUUUUUCUUUUCUUAUUUGUAUUCCUUGAUUUCCUCUGCUAUUUAAUCUUGGUUCUUAUUCUAUUAAGGUGUGUUCAUUUGUUUGUUUCUUAAAAUAUGUACCUCUUUGAUUUAUACGCUCAAAAUUAACCUACUUUUAAGAUUUUAAAAGUGGCCCAAAGAGGAUGUCACUUGCUCUACAUGUCCAUUUUAUUAGGCGUUGUUUGAAUAAAAUAUCAAGACUAACUUUACAAGAUUUAAAAUUCUCUUAAAAGUUCCUGUGGAUUCUAGGCUCAGAAUUGGUAUCUAAAAUUUCAAUGUGAGAUCUUUUUUCAGUUUCAACAUGCAAAUCUCUUAUUUUCAGAAUUUACUUGAUGAUUUUGGUUCCUAAAAUUUUUUAACUUGAGAAAGAUUUAUAUCAAGUUCUUCUAUUUUACUGCAUACUUGAUUCAACCUAUGAGGAGUGGGAAGAAAAAUAACAAAAAUGAAAAUAAAGACCCCUUCAAGUUGUAGCUUUGCAAUUAACAAAAUCGGGUUAUUUUACAGUUAAUGGGAACUUUGUUUUACUUAUUGUACUUAUUAUUAUUCCUACUACUACUACUUAUGUUAUAUGGAAUGCUGAUCACCUUUUAAGAUUUUUAAAUUUGAUGGGCGUAAGAGGUUAAGUGGUCAAACCAUAUGGAGAAUGGAAUUGAUUAUUAAAUAGUUUUUGAGGAUGCCUGAUAUUAAGUACUAACGAUCACAAUAAAAACAGAUUUUGUCAGCUUAGGAUGCGUUUGGGAUUGAGGUGCUGUAGCUUUUAAGCUACAGCUGCUGUGAAAAAAAAGCUGUAAUUAUGAAACAAAAGUUAAUAAUAUAUAGUAAAUAUAAAUUUUAAAUAAUAAUUUUGAUAAAAUUAUUAAAGAUAUAAUAAAUUUAAUAUUAUACAAGUGAAAAAUCAUAUCAACAUAACUUAAAACGUACAGCAGCUAGUGUUUACCUAACACUUUAGUGCUGUAGCUUUUAAGCUACAGCUGCCUAACCUCAAUCCCAAACGCACCCUUAAUAUCCUGAAACUUUUAGAGACUACAAGUGUUUGAUUGGUUCAUCCAUGCUUACAGAAAGGAGAUAACAUUUUAUUCCUGAUCAUUUUCCCAAUAUUUUAGGAAAUCCUUCAACUAUGUGAUAAUAGGCGCGUGCUUUUUGAUAACAAGACCAAGGAUGAGGCCAAGAGAACCGAGCAGGUUGGGCAGCUUCUUUCUCUGGUUAACUCUGUGAUCGUGCAGAAUGGUGGGCAGCCAUAUACGGACGAGUUGAAGGUGACUUCGUUACUAUCGGGAUAGACUUCUGUGCUGCUUCUUUCUGAAUAUGUCAUGACAAUAUCUCUUUUUCUUUUCUUCUACUCAGAGAGGGGCUACUGAACUCCGUGAUAAAAAAGCUGAGGUUGAUUCUCUCAAGGAAUAUUCAAAACGAGAAAUUUCAAAGCUGAUGGGCCAGAUGCAGGAAUCAUAUGAAGAUCGAAUCAAACGAAUGGCUGAGAUGGUAUUUUUUAUGCUCCAUGUUUUGGCAUCAAAAUAUGACAUGCAUAUGUGUUCAUCUAUCAAAUCGGGUAAUCAUUUCUCAAACUGUGUAAUUAAAAAAUGCCUAUAAAGCGUGCAGGUACCUGUAACGAUAUUCUAAAUUGUUAGACUUGGAGGUGGUAAAGACUGCCGCUCUGUCCAUACCCCUAGAUUGUUGGAGAUUGCCAUAUGAAAAGAGGCCUUAUCUUGCUAGUUGAUGUGGACAAAUCUGUUAUUAUUUGUUCACUCAUUAUGUUUUGAAGGCCGUAACAUGCUGUUCUUACCUUGAAGAUUGUUUGACGGUCCUGCUCUGUUUUUUGUUGAUGAAAUUAAGUGGGUUAUUCUAUGGUAGUAGCUGUAGGUGGUUUACUAAUCAUGACUUACACUAAGGUGGAUUCUGCACUUGUUUAGUCAUCAAUCAUGAGAACAUUUCUUGUAAUACUGUGGGAACAAUUGAAAUGUUACGAGCAGGUUAUGUCAUAUUUUAAUUUUGUUAAAAAUAGAAUAGCCACAUUCACAAUAAGUUUUUAUGAAAAUAUAGUUACGCACGUGAAACCUAAUCAAAUGGCUGCGUAGUUUUGAUUUUCCUUUCCACAGUUCUAAUUUAUUGCAAGGCAAUAGAAUGAUUCUGCAUUAAGCCAUAUCCUAUUCAACAAUAAUCUGGAUUUGCUGUAACAUUCUGUGUAAUGAUUAUAUGUCUGAGGUGCUAAUAAGUUUUAUUCUCGACAAUCCUGGAGUAUGGCAAAAUGAAAAAGUUAGCAGUAUUCUUUAACACUUUAUAUUUUGGAUUUAUGUGUUUAUUUUUUUAAGCUUUUGUUUCUACCAUUUAUCAAUGAUUGAGAGUGGAAUUGAUUGGUCAUAAAGUUGUGCCGAGUAUGGUGAACUUAGCAACCCGCUUUGCAAUUGAAUUAAACUAAAUUGAUACUUAAGAAUUUUCUUCUCUUAAGUUGGAGUUUUAUAUUACCAAUACCCAAUUUUUUUGAAUUGUGCUGCUACUCUAGGGCUUAGUGGCAUGUUUUCUGACUAAUAUUGAUGCUUUUUUGAUAGGUUGAGUCUGGGCUCGAAGAGACAACAACUAGGCUCGAACAGCAAUUGGCAAAGGAGCAAGCUGCUCGAUUAAGGGCAGAAGAGGUGGCACAAAUAGCUGAAAUGAAGUUAAAAGACGAAAUUCAAUCUCGAAGUACUGAGAAGGGGACUGCGGAACCCCCUAAGCCAUCUGAAAAUCCUCCGCGGCAGCCCCCUAGGCCACCUGAAAGUCCUCCGCCGAAGCCCUCUAGCACAUCUGAUGGGUGGUGUGCCAUUAUGUAAAUGUUCGCAGUCCAGACGCUUAUAUCUUCUGUUAUGUAAAUGUUCACAGUCCAAUCUCGAGUGCGGUCUUACGAUAGUACUAUAUGAAAAAACGGUAUUGACAUGAAAUGAAGUUUCAUUUAUGGAGGCGUCUAGAAUCUUUUCUUACACGGUGGAUCCGAAGAGAUCUGAUUCCUUUUCUCCUCAUUGAGCUCUUAACGAACGCUAUAUUGUUUUCACAUUUGUAGCAGAUACUACCCAAAAUGUGCCCUUCUAACAAUCAUGACUUUCCCAAAAAUUCAAACCGACUAACAGAGUAAUCCUAAUAUCCGAAAGACUUGCAAUAAAACCACCAAGCUUAUGACCCUUCUCUGAUACACACCAUAGUUCAACUAGCUCAUAAUGCAAAUCCUUCGACAUCACACAGCCUCAGUUUUGAAAGUUUUAUAGAUAUUAAGUUUCAGCAUAAUAACUGGUCUCCCAAAGAGAAGAUGCCAAUGAUCAGUCAGCGUAAGUAAUUAGAUUACACAUAAACUCAUCCAAUUUCAUAUAUUGCUGGUUUCAAAAAUAGGUAUCAAGUAGCACAGACAUUCAGUAGAUAAUGAUAUUCUGAUCGUAGAUCUCGUAUUGAGAUGCCACAAGCUUGAUCUCUUGAAAACGGGAGAAAACAUUGAUGCACGCUCAACACGAGCUCAUAGAAAUGAAAUGUGAUGGGAGAAUUAAUUACCCGGGAUGGAGUAUCUUCUUGUCCGGGUGAGAGUGAGCAGAGCCGCCACCCUCGAUAAUAGCAGGACUGAAGAAAUUCCGAGAAGCUAAUGCAAGGAUUGCAUUCAGCUCUUGCCCAGUCGCCAUGUUUGCUUGCUGAAACCUUUCCAUUUCUGCUAUCUGAGUUUCAGAAACAACGAAAUUUUAAUAACGUGCUGAAAUUUUGGAAGAGGGCGAGAACAAAUGCAUUAUACAUACAAAGGAUUGAUUUGCAUACCUUUGAUAGGAGACGCACGCUUUCAUUUUCCAGCUCAACCUCCUAUGAAAAUGAAAAUGUCAUAGAGUUCCAUAAAAGCUUGGAAGAAAACGAAAAAAAAGGGCUAAACAGGAUUUAAUGAACUUUAAUUAUUACCCUUUUCUGCAAGAACUCAAUUUUAGGAAACAGACAAAGCAACAAAUUAUUUUCAAAAUGACAUGAAUUACAUAUACUGAACGUAUAUCGUUAAAGUUUAUGCAAUGUAUUGUUGCAAAACAAUGGUGUAUUGCUCAAAUUCAAUUUUUUUUUUUUUGGUUGAUUUCAUGCAUGCAUAAUGCAAUUAAUUAGUUACCUUCUUGGACCUGAUCCUAGUGAUGCCUCACUCAAGCCUGUUCUCCAGUUGCUUAAGCUCCUUUACAGUUAAAGAACUCAGAGAAUCACACAUCAGAUGCCGAUAUGAAGUGUCAAGAGUGAGAUAACCAAUUGAAAUUGUAUAUUUUGGAAUAAAUAAUUAACUACACCUAAUGUGAAAAUGAUUGUUGAUGAAAUAAUUGAAAAUACUAGUUCGAAUUCUGUAAGAUUUGAAUUUGCUGCCGCAGCUUUGCUGACUCCUGCUGAUAGUACUGUUUCCAUGGGUCACAUGUAAUUGGAGAAGUUUAAUUUUUAUUGGGAGCUUUUUAUUUCAAUGCUAGCUAUGUGGUAAGCAAUGAUAAUCAGUUGGCUUUUUUUCUUUUUUAACCUUUUCAUAAUAGCAUAUAUUCCUAGUAAAGCCUGAAUUUAUAGCUUAAAUUAAUGAAUUAUUUACCUGAGCAUUGAUCUCAGUAACAGUGCCAGAAUUUGAAUUAUCCGAACAUGCCUUCUUGUACCUAUGAAUGGUUGACCUUAUGCUGCUACGUGCAUAACACAUAAAUUUCUAAUUAUUUAGCAUAAUUGUUUGAAAUUGUUUUUGGGAAAAAAAAAGAGGAAUAAAAAAAGAGGGAGCUGAAGUUUAAUAAACAAUUUUAUUUCUUUAUUAAAUAUCAUUUAAGUUAUCUCAUUAGUUUUCAUGAUCCCUCAGUCUUCAGCUACAUGGAUAAACAAACAUAGACAUAAAAAAGAAAGAUAUGUUAAGUAAGAUGGAUGUAAAAAUGUUUUAUUUUAUUUUUAAUUCUUUAUUCUCAAUGAGGACAUUGGAAUAAGUUUACUAAACCUAGCUACCCUCUACAUCUAGCUAGGUCAUUAAUUCCAAGCUCAAAGUGGUUUACUCUCUAAUUUGAGAGAAUUUUAUCCCCACAAGCCAAUUGAAUAUUGAGAUGAGAACUACUAAACUAAUAGGUGCUUCUUGAUAUACGUAUCAAGUUAACAUUUCAAGUUCUACGCCUGAUAUUUCAAUUGUAAGUUUAAUGUGUAAGGUUUCUUUAAUCUAACAUUUUAAUUGACAGCCACUCCCUAUAGCUUCCUAAUCAUAAAUGAAUUUAUAUGUGCCCACUCCCUAUAAUUUGAACUUUGAAGUGAAGAAGUUAGCACUUUAUAUCCCCAUCACAUUGAAGAGUAAAAAUCUCUUUUACGUUUUAGGUUUCUAUUCACCAUGCAUGCGGAAAGAGCAAGGCCUAAUAGCAUUUUAAAUUUCUUCAAACAAGUCCAUCACUUUAAUAGCACGAAAAUGUUAGUGCAAACUGAGAAAGAAACCAAUACACGAUUGAAAAUUUUCGGUGCUUUUAGAGUCAAAAGUACUGAAGAAAACUGAUGUGAAAGAUAUGAUUCAGAUUGCUUCAAUGAAGAAAAAAGAUAUGGGAAAAUUUUUAAAGCUAAAAGUAGAAACAAAAGCCAAAGAAAAUUGAGAAUUUGUAAAUGAUUAUAAAAGGAAAGAAUCCAUCAGGCCAGAUUUCAGAUCACUGCAUGCAGCAUGCUGUAAUUAUUAAUUUGAUUAUUAAUGUAUUGCAACUGCUGAGUAUUUUGUCAAAUGAUCUAAAACCCUAGAUACAGAUAGGAAAGUCACCACAGCCUUUUCUUUUUCCGGGGAAUUGGAGUGGACAACUUCGGUCAAAUUUUUUUUUCAUUUUUAUAAAAAAAUUUUAGCUACCAUGAAAUGAUGUACUUGCAAGAGUCUAACUUUCAUCACGAACAAAAAUCUCUUUAUGACAUUCGUUUAAUUAUAUCAAAAAGUUGAAAUUGUUGAAAAAAAUUGUUAAAAAGAAAUAGUUUUUCACCAAAGCAGUGACUCAAGACCAGCAAUAUUCUUGACCACUAAGGUCUCAUUACCUAUUUUCUAAUUAGGAUAACAUUAUUUAUAAUUUACCUUAAAAUGCAGUUGAACGACUUUCAGUUUCUUUGUUUAAUUAGUCAUUCGAGUUGAACUCCUAAAAAAGAUAUGAGUUAAAAAUAAUGUUUGGGCUAUGCUCCUUCCCCUUUAAUAAAACUUGAAAAAAUAAAAUAAAAUGAAUUCAUGAUGUGGUUUUAUCUCAAUAACAUUAUUACUGCUCCUAUGGGGGAUUUUGAACUGUUACUAGUUAUAUAAAUGGCUAAUCUAAAUAUCUGAACUCUGUUAUAUAAUAGGCUAAUCCAUGCCAUUCUAAUAAAUAUCUAACUAUUAAUUCUAUAAACUAAAAGGAAAAAAAUAAUUGUACUUUUAGUAGUACAUAUACCAUGCUAGGGAUAUUGAAUGUUAAUUAAUUAUUAACAUUAAAUAUACCAUGCUAGCGGUAUUGAACGUCCUACCAACAGCAGUCAAUCUUCGCUCCAAACAUGUAAGUUUAAAUGAUCUUUGCCUGGUUUGUAACUCUGAUAAAGAAACUGUUUUUCACCUACUGGUUGACUGUCCCUUUGCAAGAACCUGUUGGAUUAAAUCAAAAGUCGGCUUCUUUGGUAUCUAUUCAUCAUUCAAGGAUUGGCUUCAAGCUUUGUUUAGGAACUGCACUAAUGAACAGUGCUGGAUCGCUGUUAUGGUCUGCUGGAAGCUAUGAAGCAACAUGAAUAAUCUGGUUUGGCAGGGGAAAUGCGACACAGCAAAACAGAUUGUUAAUGCAGCUGGUAAUUUGUUGUUUCAACGGCAGUCAGCUAAAUCCUCUGUGAUGUUUAAUCAAGUCUCAAGUGAUCCAGGUGCUGGUGCUAUUGCUUGGUCUCCUCCUCGAGUAGGCUGGCUUAAAUGUAACACUGAUGCUGCAGUUUUUGCUGAUGAGGGACGAGAUGGGCUGGGCAGUGUUAUCCGUGAUGAAUCGGGGAAAUUCGUUGCUGGUCUUUGUUGUAAUAUCAGGGGAAACUAUUCUCCUCGGGAUGCUGAGGUCCUUAGCAUUCAUAAGCUCUCUCUUGGCUGAAGUCUAUGAAGUUGUCAAAGGUUAUCAUUGAAACUGAUUGCCUUCAAGCGUUUUAUGCUCUAGUCGAUCGAAAGAGUCCUCUAAAUAGCUUUGGCUCAUUAGUUUUGGAUUGCAAAUGUAUUGCUGAUUCUAUAGGCGAUAUUGUUUUCUCUUUCAUCAAAAGAUCUGCGAAUUCUGUUGCUCACUUUGUUGCUAGAGCGGGAAAUUCUUUACCAGGUCGUGAAGAGUGGCGUUCUGUGCCACCUUCUUGGUUAAUCUCUGUGCUGUAAUUGCUGGUUUUAUUGUUAAUGAAAUUGCACUUUCCAUUAAAAAAAAACAUUAAAUGUUAUCAAGAUGAUGACAUUAUCAUUAUUUUCCGUAAUUAAAAAUAUUGUAACACUACCGUAAUUAGGAUUUUAGACGAUCAUUUUCCAAGCAUCUCCAUCAAUGAUUUGGUUAUUAAGAAUCUCAAUAGUAAACAAAAGGGACAAUAACUAGUGGGACUCAAAAGCCAAUCAAAUACGGGUAUGGAUAGAAAAGGCAAUAUUAUGACAAAAUCCAUUUUGCUCUUCAUGCACCAAUCACAACUUUACUUUUUCUGCUUGUUAUUGACUUAACAUGAAAAUAGGAAAGAAGAGAACUUCAUUUAAUGAGUUAUAAUAUCACUGUAAACUGAAGAAAAAAAAUGGACUAAGCUGGCCUGCUUGCUUUCACUAAAGAAAUGCAAACAAAUUGUAGUGAGGCCUCCAAAGCCGGAACUAGAAACAGACAGAAAUAUUCGAGAAUCAUCAAAUUAAACACUAAAAAAAUAUACUAUUUUAUUUGUUCAACAACACUCUUCACCAACUACAACUCUUAUUUUUCACUCUCUACACCUUAGAGAUUUUUGUUACUUCACUUGAUGUUUAAACUAAAGGGGAGAGGAGAUAUUUAUACAUGAAACAAACUAAUCACAACUAUUCAUUUAUUCAACUACUAUAUAAAUCCUCACCAUUCAUUAAAAACCACCACUCACCUAUUUCACCAACCACACCUACCAUACCUACCACAAGAAGCUUCUAUGUAUUUAAACUUGAAUUUAUUCAUCUUAGAUCAAGUUUAUGAUCCAACACCCCCCCUUAAAAUUGAUCCUCUGACACCAAGCAAACUUCUGAAUUUUACGAAGUUUUCUUGCUUGAGCGGCUGGUGAAGAUAUCAGCUGCUUGAUCUUGUGAUUUUACAUAUUUGAUUUGUACUUCUUUUCUUGCAAUACGCUUUUUUAUGAAAUGAUAGUGAAUAUCUAUGUGUUUGCUUCGAUCAUGAAAGACUGGAUUCUUGGAUAGGGUAGUUGCUGAUUUGUUAUCAACACAAAUCUCGCUUGGCUCUUCUUAUGGCAAACCCAACUCCUUCAACAAAUUUUUUAGCCAAAUUACAUGACAAACACUUGAUGCGGCAGCUACAUACUCAACUUCACAGGUGGAUAGCGUGACAAAUGAUUGCUUCUUUGACAUUUAUUUGAAAGCAGUAUCUCCCAUGAAGAACGCAAAUACUGUGGUUCUCUUUCGAUCAUCUACAUCUCCACCCCAAUUGCUACCGCUAUAUCCAACAAGCUUGUAAUUAUUACAAAAUGAGUAUAACAAGCUGAAAUUAAUUGUACCUUUGAUGUAGCGAAGGAUUCUUUUUGCAGCUUUAAAAUGAGUGGCCUUUGGAUUCUCCAUGUAUUGACUCACAAGUUCAACAACAUAAAGGAUAUUUGUUCUUGUGCAUGUCAAAUAACGUAGGCUUCCAACCAAACUUUUAAAGAAUGUUGGAUCUAUAUCUUCUCCUUCAUCAUGUUUAGAUAACUUGACUCCGCAUUCCACUGGCGUUCUUAUAGGCUUGCAAUAAUUCAUCUUGAACCUUUUGAGAAUCUCCUUUGCAUAGCUUUCUUGGGAGAUAAAUAUACUUUCUUCCUUUUGCUUAACUAAUGCUAAGGUAAUGUGUCAUCAGUCCGAUGUCAGUCAUCUCGAACUCUUCAAAUAAGCUUGGAUCACUUUCAGUGAAGAUGAGAUCAUCCACAUACAAGCGCACAAUCAAAAUGUCUCCAACUUUUUCUUUGACGUAGAGAGCAUGUUCAUAAGGGCAUUUGGUGAAGUCGUUCUCUUGAAAAUACUUGUCAAUUCUGCUAUUCCAUAUUGCUUUAACCCAUAAAGAGCUUUCUUCAAUCUCAAAACUUUAUCUUUAUGUCCUUUCACCACAUAGCCUAAUGGUUGUUCGAUGUAAACUUCUUCUUCAAGGAAUCCAUUCAAGAAAGCAGACUUUACAUCCAUUUGAAAAAUCUUCUAUUUGUUCAGAGCAGUCAAAGAAUAAUAAGUCUAAUAGUUUCAAGUCGAGCUAUAGGAUCAAAUACCUCAUCGUAGUCUAUGCUAGCCUUUUGACUAUAGUCUUUUAUAACUAGCCUCACCUUGUGCCUUUCAAUUUCUCCCUUCACAUUUCUUUUCGUUUUAUAGACCCAUUUGACAUCGAUCGCCUUGUGACCUUUAAGAAGAGUAGUAAGCUCCCAAGUAUCAUGCUUCACAAUGGCUUUGAGUUCUUUAUCCAUUGUAAUUCUCCACUUUUUAUCUAGUGCAGCUUCUUGGAAGUUGACUGGCUCACAAUUAGCAAAGAGGCAAAAGAGAGUGAGAUUAUCAUAUCUCUCAGUUACCUCAUAGAGAUAUUGAAGAUUCCUUAUACAUUCUUCCGUUCUUUCAUUUGAGAAAGAUGGUAGUGAAUCUCCACAUGUGGUUGAUGCUAGUGAGAUAGGUGGAGUAGUUGGCUAUUGUUGUUCUUCUACUUGUUUUAUCUAUGUAUGAUCAUCUUCUUCAAUGGGAAAUAAGUUGAAGUCAUCCACACGAGUAAACAUCCUUCACAAAUUUGAUAAGGGUGAUUGAUGCAUGGUAAGCCAUUCACCAUGUUCUUCUUGGAUAGUAGCUCCAGUCCUCCAAAGUUGAGAUGCCCAUUUCAAAGAUGCCAAGUCCAUGAUGGAUAUUUGUGACAGAUUUUGAGACAUUUUGCAACAUCAUUUUGAAUAAUUAAACGAAACAUUCUAUUCUUCGACAUUUUCACCUUUGUAAUUAGAUUUCUUUUGUCAUUUCUUAGGAAAAAACUAUAAUCUUUUAAGCGAAUAUCAUAGCCUUUUUCCAAGAGUUGACCCAAACUAAGGAUGUUGCUUUUUAUAUUGGGCACAUAGUAAACAUUCGAAAUUAUUUAGUGACUACCAUCUUUUGCACGAAAAGGAAUGUUACCUUUACCCUUCACUGGUACUUUUGAGUCAUCUCCAAAAGCAACACUGCCAUUCAUAGACUCAUUUAGUUCCAUGAACAUGCUUCUGUUUCCACUCAUAUGAUUGCUAGCACCUGUGUCAAGAUAUCAUGUAUUUUCUUGACCUACACUUGUGUUAUUGCGUGCUAGUAAAAGGGUGCCAUAUUUACCAUUUUCUCUUCGACAUAAUUCACUAUCUCAUCAAUUCUGGUACUUGGAGUUCUACAUUCUAAAGCAUAAUGCCCAAACUUUUGACAAGUAAAGCAUUAUACUUAGGAUUUGUGAUACCUCAAUCUUGGAUUGCCUCUGCCUUGUCCUCUGGUUGAGCCUUCUCCGUUGGCAUAAUUGGAGUUGUUGUUGAAAUUCCAACCUUGUCCAUGACCACGACCUCUACCUCGAACAUAAUACCUUCUCUUAUUGUCAGAGCUUUCUUAUCUUUUCGUUGGAUUGAUUCUAUAUUGAGAAGUUGUUCUUCAAUUCCUUCUUUUUUUGUUUUUCUUCAUAGGCUUGCAACCUUCCUUAAAGUUGUUCGAUCGUCAUAUCCUCUAGAUCUUUUGUUUCCUCAAUUGUCACAACAAUAUGGUCAAACUUCGAGUCUACUGAUCGAAAUAUCUUUUCAAUAAUCCUUACAUUUUUUAACUCCUUGCCAUUUCUUUUUAAUUCAUUGGAAACAAUCACAACCCGAGUAAACUAGUCAAAAAUUGACUCCGAUGACUUCAUGUGUAAGGACUCAAAUUCUACUCGUAAUGUUUGGAGACGAACCUUCUUAACUUGCUUCGCUCCUUUGUAAGAAGUCUUUAGUUUCUUCCAUGCUUCUUUUGAGGAGGUUGUACUAGUAAUCUUUUCAAAAGCUAUUCGUCUAAUGAUUGAAAGAUGAGAUACUUUGCUUCAUUCUCUUUCUUCUUUAAGUCUUUUAAUUCUCCUUCUACACUGCAAUUAAAACUUUUCUCUAUGACAUCCCAUACGUCAUGUGCACCCAAUAGAGCCUUCAUUUUAAUACUCCAACUGUCAAACUUACUUUUCUUUAAUUGUGGAAUUUGAAAUGACAUCAUACCACCAUUUGCCAUAACUCACAAAUUGAGUGAGAAUUUUAAGAUUCUGAAUACACGGAUGGAUCCGGCACGUCGAGAAACCUUGGGAGGGACUCGAGCCAAUUUUCAAUCAACGAUCAAUUUUUGGUCAAUCGCCAACUGCAGUGUAGUUGACUUGGUUCGGUCUGAGUUGGUUCGGUUUUAUGUGGCUCGUUCAACUUGAUUCGGUUCAGCUCGGCUCGGCUUGGUUCGGUUCGGCUCAACUUGGUUCGGUUGGUUUCAGCUUGGUUCAACUCGGUGAGUUGACUCAACUUCAGGACAUAAAACUUCUGGCAACGAGUGUGGGUGCGUUCAGCCUCCGAUCGGGCUGAGUUUUGUGGCAUUAUGUUCCUCUCAUUGAGAUCUUCAAUUUGAUAUGCUAUAUGAUUAUAUAUAGCAUCGAACACUAUCUCUGAUACUGCUUUGUUGGAGAAUCAACAAAUGAUGCAACUAAUGUAUCAUGGGGCUAUAAAAGAAAGAGAAGAAGAAAAGCUUUCAUUGGAAAUUUUGGAUUCUUUAAGAUAUGAAACAUGAGAGACCUUGAAAAGAAAGAAAGGAAAAAAAAAACCUAAAACUGAGAUUUCUUAAACAAUGGAAGAGUAAAACAAAGUUAAAAAAUGAGAGUAAAUUCUUAAAAAUAUACCAAGCAGGAAAAUAAAGACCUGCGAAAAACAAAUUUUAAUGGAUGCUCUUGUGGACGUAAAAGAAAAAUGAUCCCAAUGUUAGUUUAAAGACAAGUUUUGAUGGACACUCUCAUGUAGAAUCUAUUUGAUCACACUCGUGAGAGCGAGUUUUUAAAAAUGUUAUCAUAAAUGAAAUUAGGUUACUAGACUUCUCUCUCUCUCUCUCUCUAUACAUAUAUAUAUAUAUCUGUGUGUGUGUGUGUGUAUCCAUAAAAUUAUUAUCAGGUGCAUGUGCCCUCAUUUUUUUUAAUUCAGACACUUUAUUAAACCACAUGAUUUAACAACGUGUCUACAUGAAAAAAAAAUGGGUACUUGUAUGAGAGAAUGACUCUAUGUAUAUAUAUAAUCAUUUGUUACGAAGCAAAAGGCCUCCCCUAAAUCCUAAAAUGGGCAAUAUCAAUACAGUGCAAAGAAACAAGUUGUAAUUACAUUUUUCUAAAGAAAACUAUGGGACAUGGGUUGAAUCAAGAUACUUGGGGUGCUUUUCGACACCUAAGUCACCCUUAACGAAGCUGGCUAAUUGGAGUAUAAUUUCAAUUAUAGAUGAAUUUAUCUUGCAAUUUCAGACUGCAAGAAAAAAGGUUUUUAGAUCUUCCAAGGAAAGUUACGGAUGUGGGUUUUAAAUCAAGAUACUAAUUAGUAAUUAACCAGGCUAUACCAUCAUUGAAGUCUGAUUUCGAUUAUAUAUGUACGAGUACUUCACUGCCUUCAUUAGUCUCAAACUCAUGUGAACUAGAUAGCAUCCAAACAAAUUACCAAAGCAUAAUUUUCUAAGUUGUUUACAAGAUCACAGCUGUUACCAGUGAAGAGAUUUUAGAUCUAGGGAUUUCAAAUCUUAACACUUAUUUCUCCUUAAAUCUUAAAGUCAAACAACCAAAAUUUUCUUCCAAAAGCCAUUAUGAGAGAAUGAAUAUUUCUGUUAAAAGUUUAUGACAACAAAUUACUGCUAAUAAAUGACCAUUUCGUACGUUUUCAAGCAUCUGCAGACUGCAAAACUAAAAAGCCAUCAUCUCAAAACAAUUGGGAAAAUAUUAAAAAAUAUAUGCCCAAAAAAAAAAAAGAGGAAGCAAACUUAAGGAUCUUGAAAAGCUUGUCAAAUUUUGGAUGCCACGGUGAAAAUAUUAAACUGCAAUUUUUUCUUUUUUUUAAUAAUUUUUUCUUUGUCACAAAUGAGAUUGACUAACAUACCCUCGAGUAGAAUCUAACUACAGUACAGCCAUUUGGAUUCUUAGUCGAUAAAAAAUAUCUUUGAAAAAAUUAGGGUUUUUUGUUUUCGACGUAUUUGUCCAAGAAAGAUUUUAUGUUUUGGAUUUUGAUCUUGUCAAUGGUGAGUGAGUACCGAUUUUCAAGUUUGUAUAUACGUUGAAUUAAUUGUAUGUUUUAUUAGUGGGGUGUAUAGCAUAUACAUAGAGAGAGAGAGAGAGAGAGAGAGAGACGACAGCCUUGUGAAUAUCAUUAUGCUGCUUCCUGCAAAUCUUAUACGAUUGUUGUUGAAAUUUUGUACCUUGAUAAGAGCAUUCAUUGAUAAAUAUGUUUCAGUGUUAUAAGACUUCUGAUGAACGUCUAGGGAGUCAUCUUAAUUUGAGAUGUAUGGUACAUGCAUGAAACGUGUGUAGGAAUUGAACUGUAGUGAUACAACAUUAAUCAAUUUAACCCAUUGGAUACAAAAUUUUAGUUAUUAUAGACCAUGAUAGUGUGAAUGCCAAUUCACAUCAAGCGGAAUUGGUAUUAGAAGUCAUGUAGAUUUAAAGAGAUUAAUAAGGUAAUGGGUUCGAAAAAUAAUUGAAAUUGACACAAUACUUAAAUCUGUAAGAAUUUGAAUGUGAAACUUUAUUUGUUUUAAUAUUGUAUUUGUGAAACCAUUAAAAUUUUGUAAUAAGGACCAAAACUAGUGAAAAAUCUUAACUGAUAGAAGCUGAUUGAGAAAAAAAUUGAACACCACUAACACUGUCUCUAAUACUGUGUAAUUAUUGUUUCACUGAAUUACAAGCUUAAUUUUAAACCAAAAAAAAAAAAAGAAAAAGAAAGAAAGAAAGAAAGACGUAACUUACAGUUUUAACUUUAUAAAAAGUUUCAUUAGCCAAUAUAUAGAUUUUAUUUAUUUAUUUAUUGUAGAAGUAAGGGAUCAUGCUAUGUUGGUUAUGCUCUAACUUAGAGCAUCUCCAACAUAUCAAUUUCCAGAAGUGAGAAGUCAAGGGUUCAAUCAAUUGGUCGUGGUUUUGUUCAAUAAUUUCGCAAAACAACGGAAAUGAAAUAAAAUUAUAUACCACCAUAAUUAAUUAAUCAACGGAUUCUGUUUAGAUUCUGUGCUUGAUUGUAUAUCAAUAUCAUCAAAUUUUUAUCAAGACUUUAAAUUCAAUUAUAUUGUUGUGGUCUGAAUGAUUUUUCUUUUUAAUAUUUUUACAAAUUUAUUCAUGUUUGGUUGGAUAAUAUUUAAAGUAUUAACAAACAUAGGUUUUAAUGGAGUGAAAUUGUAAGGGGUGGUAACUAAAUCUUGUUUUUUGUUGUUUAAUGAAAAGACUGAAUUCAAUAUGAAGUGGUCUGAUAUUGUAAAUGCAUUGCAGCUAAAUUGAAAUUUUUUAUACGAUGGGAGGAAGUGCGAUUGAUGAUGAUUGGGAGCUUACUUCUCCAUCUAAUGGGCUGCGCACUGUGGUUUUUGUUGGCCGUACUGGCAAUGGCAAAAGUGCGACGGGCAACAGUAUUCUUGGAAGAAGAGCCUUCAAGUCGAGGGCUAGCUCGUCUGGUGUUACUAGUACUUGUGAAAGGCAGAGAACCGUGCUCAAAGAUGGCCAAGUUGUUAAUGUCAUUGAUACCCCCGGUAAUUUACUAAUGUCGUUGCCUAGAUAUUCCAUUUCCAUGCCUGUUGAUGUUGUGGUGGUAAGUAGAUUGAUGUUAUGGUAAUAAAAAAAAAAAAGUAGAUUGAUGUUAUGAGCAAUUGCAGGACUUUUUGAUUUUUCUGCUGGCUCUGAGUUUGUCGGCAAGGAAAUUGUCAAAUGUAUCGAUAUGGCCAAGGAUGGGAUCCAUGCAGUGCUUGUAGGUUUCUCUGUUAGAAGUCGUUUUUCUCAAGAGGAAGAAGCUGCACUACACAGUUGGCAGACCUUGUUCGGGAAAAAAGUUUUUGACUAUAUGAUUGUUGUUUUCACUGGAGGGGAUGAACUUGAAGAUAAUGACGAAACGUUAGAAGAUUAUUUGGGUCGUGAGUGUCCA